rnacentral:lncRNA from 1 species
AAAAACUUGUUUUUGUUUAAUAAAGCCUUAUUAGCAAAAUAGGUGUGGUGUAUUUUAACCCAACCCAGUUGCCUUUUAGCCAAAGUUCUUAAAGCCCGUUACUUUCCUAAUUCAGACAUUUUAUCAGCUAAGAUAGGUUCUUACCCUUCGUUUACUUAGAGGAGCAUUUGCAGUGCUCAAGACCUAAUUAAAUAUAGAAUUUUAUGGCGAAUUGGUAAUGGCUCUCAUGUUAACAUAUGGAAUGACCCUUGGCUUCCUGGAAUAGAGAAAAAUAGAGUAUCAGUCAAUCGCAUUUUACCGAAUUGGACGACAAUUAAUAAGCUGAUUAAUGAAGAUACUAAUACUUGGAACAGAGAUCUGGUUUUUAAUAUUGUUGAUAAUGAGCAGGCAAAUCGUAUUCUGUCCAUUCUGCUUUCUGAAGCUCGGCCGUAGGAUAUACUGGUCUAAAAGUAUGAGGGUUCUGGAGAUUACUCCGUUAGAAGCGGUUAUCGAGUCCUUGUUACAGAGUAUUUACAGGGUAACAAUUACAUCACGCCUAAUACUGAGGCUUUCAAGGAUUUUUACAAGUCCCUAUAGGCUGCUUUACACAUCCCAGGAAAGUUUAAAAUACAUCUAUGGAGAUUGUUUAAUAAUUUUCUGCCUCACUAUAGUAAUCUGUUACAAAGGACUUUAAGGGUUGAUGUUCUUUGCCCUAUUUGCAAGAAAGUACCGGAAGACUCCGAACGUGUUUGGGCGUCUCUUCAACUCCGAACUGCCUCACCUGAUAGCCCUACGAAUUGCAAAACUCUUUUCAUUAAUAAUUUAUAUGCAGCUGAUGAUCAGAAAAAACAUCUUAUUGCUAUUUCCUUAUGGGCUUUAUGGAAUAGAAGAAAUAAGCUUAUUAACGAAGGAAAAAUAUUUUCUUUGCAGGAUCUUUCAGGUUUCAUUCGCGGUUAUAGUCAAAAAUUAAGUUUGUCCCAUGAAAAGUUGGUUGCUUUUUGUAGACCGUCACCGGAUAUUCUUUGGAGUCCUGAUUUUGGUGUUACCAAAGUAAAUUUUGAUGCAACAUUUCAGUGUGACUCUAGGACUUCUACAUUAGCGGUUAUUGCCAGUGACUACAAAGGAGAUUAUUUAGGUACAAAAACUUAUCUGUUCAACGAGGUAUUCAAUGCGUUCGUGGCUGAAGUGAGGGCGUCUAAAAGGGCGUUGCUGUUUGCGACUAACAUGGGCUUCCGACGUCUGGUGGUGGAAUGAGACUCUUUGACGGUCAUUAAAAAACUCAAAACAAAGGAAGAGGACAGAUCGGUUAUCAGACCAAUAUUCACCAAAUGUGUAACUUGGAAAAGUGUUUUGACGAAAUAUGUUACCUGUUUCUUCCCGUUUAGUUAAUGGAGUGGCCCAUACCCUGGCGAUGGAAGGAAGGAGAAGACAGCGGUCUGGAUUUUGGGUCGAUGAGGUUUCGGUUUCUGUCAAGAUGUUGAUAGCAAGGGAUCAAAGAAUUUGCUAACGAAGUCAUCACAGCUUGUCGUAGAAGGCUUUGAAAAUGGAGAAGGUUCUUGGAAUCUCCAUGGCUGGACUCAAAGCUUUUGGGUUUCCUCUGGUUCACAUUUUGGUCAUCCUUUCAUAGGAUAUGGAAGCUACUUGGCUGAUAUUUUGUUGGUUUCUGCUUUGUUUAUUUUGGCUUAAGGUGGUUUUACUCUCUUUUCCUUUAUGGUUUUUAUUUCCUAAGUGCGGGUUUAAUUGGUUUUUGCCCGUUGGUCUGCUAUUGAUUAGACAUUUCCUCUAUUCUCUUUUAGUUAUUACUUCUCUGCCAUCUUGAGCUGUGUGUUUAAUAAAUAUCAGUCUUUUCUUUACAAAAAAAUUAUUUUUUUAUCAAAAUUUUUGAAUCCAAUCAAAUUUUGUUCACCCUAAUUGUUUAUUUAUUUUCCUUAAUUUUGUUCCUUUUAAGUGUGCGUAACUUAUGUGCCUAACUUUCGUAAGUUAACCAAAAAAAUAUAAUCAUAUUAUUUUUUCCUUUAUUUUUUUUAGUUUCAAUGUAAUUUUCCUUAGUUUUUGGCUUAAAUUUUUGUGUAAUUAUAAUUAUCAAAUUUUCAAUUAUAUUUACAUGUCAAUUUUUCAUUGGUGACACAUGGUAUGCUCUAAAGUUUUUAUUCAUGUGUUAAAACCUUAUUUAUAUAUAUAUAUAUAUGAUUAACUAAGGAUGAUAAAGGAGUAGGGCGGGGCGAAUUAAAUCAUCAUCACUUCAUAGUUGGCAUUCUCUGUUUUAUUAUCCGUAUUGUUUCAUUAUGAAUGUAUAAUUUUAAAAAUUAUUAUUAUCUCUGCAUAUUGGGUCACUCUACUUCAAUUUAAAUUUUGUUACUUAUCUUUAAUAUUUUCAAUCAAUUAAAUAUUUAAACAUAAUUCUUCAAAAAAAUUAAAUAUAAAAUAUAUAAAUUUUUAUAUUACGUUAUUACAUUUUUACAAUUUUUAAAAUAUAUAUAUAUAUGAUAACUUCAUAUAAUAGAGCGAGUUAGAAUGGGUAAACAAUUACCAUAAGUGCUCUAAAUCUUCUAUUCAAAAGUAAAAAUCCACUCCACCUUAUCUUGCAUUGACUUUUGAAAAGAAAAAAAAAUUUACGGAUUAAUUUGAAAUUAAUAAGACAGGUUGAAAGUACUAAGUGGGUAUCCAAGAAGAAGAAGAAGAAGAUUUCGAAUUAUGAAAGUGCUUUGACUAUUCCAAUACCUCCAUAUAGUCAAGAGAUUCCACAAAUUCUAGAUAAUUUGGAUCAUUUUUUCAGUUACUAUUUCAUCUAUAAAUUUGUACAACUUUUUUUUCAUAAAAAAAUUAAAAUUAAAAAUUAUGAAUUAUAAUGAUGAAAAUCAUAAUUUUUUUCUUAUAUUUAUGCUUAGAGUUCUACUCAAAUAAUAAUUUUGUCGUAAAACUAGAACAACUCUUUUUAACUAAUAAUUGUAGCGUACAUCCUAAUUUUUUUAAAAUUUCUAAUUAGUGUAACUUCUUUAAAUUAUAAUUUUUUAAAUGUAUAAUUUUCAUAAAUUUUAUUUUAUUUAAACUAAUAAUUCUAAAUUAAAUCUUAUAAUUAAUUUCUUUCUAUAUUUGUCUAAUUUAAAAAUGAAAAUCCAAUGAUAAUACACAACAUUUUAUUAUUAUCAAUUGAAACUAAUUAUUUUAAAGAACAAUCAAGUGACAAAUAGAAGGUCCAAGAAUUAAAAAGAGAGAUAAAUUUCAAAUUUUCAAGAGUACAGGGACUGGAGGCAUAGUUAGACAAAAAAAAGAAAACUAAAGGAAGAAUAUAAGGUUGUUCACGCAGAAGAGACGAAAACUCUAUCCCUGUACCAAAGGUGAAUUACGAAUGGAUCGCUUGGAAACCUCAAAUGAUUUGUCUUCCGGGGCUCUUCGUCUCGCCGCAAAGAUUAAGGUUCUUUUUUCCUCCAAUUUUCUAUGUUUCAAAAAAGAAAUAAACUUUGCUCUUUAGCUUAGUUUUCUGGGAUUCUACUGCUUAGGAUUUUGUUUGUAGCUGUUUUAUUGGAAUUUUUAUCCCUUGGAAUUGAACAUAGAAGGUGGGUUCUUUCAUUUCUUUUUCUUCAAUUUGUUUCAUCAGUGUUACUAUUAGAUCGAUUGUAGAUACAUGUACUUAAUUUAGCUGUUCCCCCCCCCCCUGCUUUUAGAUUAAUGCAGUUUUUUUGUUUAAUUAAUUGAUGACUUAAGUGAGGAGCCCUUUUUGAAUCGUUUUAAUUGGGAAUUUGGGGAUUUUAGUGGUGUUGUUGUUCUUGCUGGAUGGGAAGUGAUCAAAACAUUGACCUUUUUAUUUGACUUUAUCUGGUCACUGCGAAAAAUUAAGGAUACGUGAGGAGAAGUAACUUCUGAAUUUUUUCUUUAUCAUUGUCCUGAUCUUGGUGACCUUAUAGGAAGAAAGAUAUUAUAAUCUAUUGAAUAAUAAGGAAAAACUUACAAAAAAUUAACCUCCCAAUUUCUUGAUGAGUAUUUGUUCUGAAACUGAUUGAUUCGAUAGAAUUAAGAAAGGGAUACCAUUUUUUGACGGUCUCUCGUAACUCUUAAGUUACCCUCGUGCUCUAUGCUCUUUCCUGUUGAACAUAUACUGGAUGUUUUUUUUAGAGAGGGUCUUUGAUAUUUCUUACACUUCCCAUAUUUUCUUAUCAGGAGGUUGUGAGGUUUUGAUUGGUGAGAUAUAAUUAUUAAGCUGAGAACUUCUUGCCGUCAUUGAGAACAAACUAAUUUAACUGGGAACAGUUCUAUUCCAUUUCUCAGCUUUAUGGUAAAGUGCGGUGUCUCUUUGUUUCGCCUUUCUUUUCUUAUCAUGCUUUCCAAUUGUACACAAGGCAUUCCAAUUCCUUUGCUCCUAAUACAAUUGGCCGAGGGGAUGGUAUCACCCCCCAUUGGUACUUAUUGUUAAAUGCUUCUUCUUCUUUUUUUUUUUUUUUCAAUUUGGUAGAUUAUAUUAUUUUUUGAUGGUCUUCUUUCAUGUAAAUGGUUGUACUGAAAUAAAUUGAAGGUUUUGGCCUUUUAAUUUGACUCUGACACCUUCCAUUUUACUCUGCUUUUUUCUGUUUUUAUCUCAGAUACUAGAUAGAGUCUUGGUGGUUUUGAGCAGAUUCAUCUAGGAUAACCUUUUCUUCUGAUUAAGAUAUUUAGCCAUCAAAGGUUGUUCUGGAAUUGAUUUACUAAUAUAUUGCAACCAAUAAGAUAUUGAUGGGGGCAUUCUUAAGUCUAAACAAUUCCAGGGCUGGAAUGAGUGAGCCCUUAGAUGUUUCACAAAAUGGAACAUGCAAAAGGCAGAAGUUGUCAUCAUGUCUUUCUGAAGAGAAUCCAAGAUUGAUUCCUAGCCUUCCUGAUGAGAUAUCUUAUCAGAUUCUUGCCAGAAUUCCGAGGAUUAAUUACUUGAAUGUGAGGUUAGUAUCUCGAGCCUGGAAAGCUGCCAUCAUGAGUACUGAACUUUUUAAUACAAGGAAAGAACUAGGAACAACAGAAGAAUGGCUCUAUAUAUUGACUAAGGUUGAAGGUGACAAGCUUUUGUGGUAUGCUUUGGAUCCAUUGUCAAGAAGGUGGCAGAGGUUGCCUCAAAUGCCCAAUGUUGCUUUUGAAGCUGAAUCCAGGAAACGUUUAGCUAGCCUUCGGAUGUGGAAUGUGGUUGACUCUGGCAUAAAAAUUGCAGAUGCCAUUAGGGGUUGGCUUGGGAGGAAGGAUGCAUUGGACAGAAUGCCCUUUUGUGGGUGUGCUAUUGGUGCUGUUGAUGGCUGCCUCUACGUGUUAGGAGGAUUCUCUAGAGCAUCAGCCCUGAGCUGUGUUUGGCAGUAUAAUCCAGUUCUAAAUUCGUGGAAUGAAACAAGUUCAAUGUCAACUGGUAGAGCCUACUGUAAGACUGGCAUCUUAAAUAAUAAGCUAUAUGUUGUUGGAGGGGUUACCAGGGGCCAUGGUGGAUUAACUCCACUUAAGUCUGCUGAAGUGUUUGAUCCUCAUACUGGUAUAUGGUCCCAACUUCCAAGCAUGCCCUUUUCAAAAGCUCAGAUUCUACCCACGGCCUUUCUGGCUGAUCUACUCAAACCGAUUGCCACAGGAAUGACAUCAUAUAGGGGAAGGCUAUUUGUGCCUCAAAGUUUAUAUUGCUGGCCAUUUUUUGUUGAUGUUGGAGGGGAGGUAUAUGAUCCCGAUGUAAAUUCUUGGGUUGAAAUGCCAGCUGGCAUGGGUGAUGGUUGGCCUGCAAGACAGGCAGGAACAAAAUUGAGUGUCACCGUGGAUGGUGAGCUGUAUGCACUCGAUCCAUCUAAUUCUCCUGAAAGUGUGAGGAUUAAGGUAUAUGAUUACCAAGAUGAUGCAUGGAAAGUUGUAGUCGGAGAGGUCCCCAUUCCUGACUUUACUGAUUCAGAUUUUCCCUAUUUACUUUCUGGUUUACUGGGAAAGCUUCAUGUGAUCACUAAAGAUGCCAACAACAAUAUUUCAGUCUUGCAGGCUGAUGUGCAAAACCAUUUUACUUCCCUAUCAUUAGCUUCAUUGAAUAGCUCACCUGGUGCACAUCCCGAGUCUGCAGAACCUGCAACAGCAUUUGAAAUGGAUCUUUGGAGGGUUAUUGCUACAAGGACAACCGGAUCUUCCGAACUAGUAAGUUGUCAGACACUCAAUAUCUAGUGCCACUGUUGGACUACUUAGGGAUCUAAGUUUCAACUUUCCGAAAAUUAUUUGGUUGCCCUUAUUUGUUUCACUAGAUCUGUUGAUUUUACAAGCGGCACAUUGAAAUUGUGAUUUAUGUAAGUUAUAACCUUUACUCUUGUAUCCUUGUAUAAUAUAAAGCAAAGGAAUUCUCUUGAACUGGAAAACAAGUGCCUGUUGUUUAUCUUACGUUGAUUUCACGGCUCCUUUAAGUGACGGUACAAUAUUCAGUAUUCUUAUGACUUGGCAAUUGAUCUUUCUAGUGGCCCACGUAUUUAGCCACUUUUGUAGUUCGAAAUUAUGCAUACGCCUGUAUUAAGCCCAGUUUAUGCAACACAUUGAAAAGAACCACCAGAUAAUGGAUAUUGUAGUUCCUGUAGAAUAGCUUAAGUUACAAAUAGGAUGCCUGCAAAUAACAUAAAGGAUUAUAAGAAAGAUUUAUAGCCAACCAAUAUUUAACACUUGAAUAUCAUCAGUCCAAGGGAUCCAACUUACAUGGCACUGGUUAUUUUAUUAUUUUACACAAUGAUUAUACCAUGAGAUGGCAUGGCCGGUGAAACACACCAUUUUUUUUUUAAUUUUAUUUUAGACAGUUACAAAGGGGUUUUCCCUUGGAGAAUAGUUUUUCCAGUCUCCAUGAUGCUUCUAUGAUGUGCUUUCUUUUCCCAAAAGCACUGAUUCUGAUAUACUCUGCACCACCAGGGCCAAAACCAGAUCCUGGUACCGUUAUUAUAUGAGUCUUUUCAAGAAUUUCUGCAAAUAUAUUCCAUGAUUUUGAACCAGGAAAAUGCACCCAAACAUACGGGGCGCUGACACCGCCAUAAACUUCUAAGCCAAGAGAGGCAAACGUAUCUACCAAUAUCUUUGCAUUCUCCUUGUAGUAGUCGAUCACUGCACAGAUAGCCUGAGAAUCAUAAAAAAUACAAAUUCAGCAGUCCUCUAGAAUACUCAAUCAUAGACCAGUUAAAAGAGUAUAGAUUGUAUUUUGUUAGACUUGCAUGCCAAAAUAAUGUUCUUUCACCAACUAUUGUUUCUUCCUCAAAGGUUUGGCUCAAAUCAGAAUCGACUGCAGCCAUUUCAACAGAUCUAAUUUGGCCAUUACGAUUCAUUACUAUCAUCAAACAUACCUAUGCCCGCAAGCAGAAUACAGCACGCCCUCAUACUCCUUUUACACAUUUGACUGAAAAGCUGAACAUUUAUGUGCAAGGCUUUCUUGGACUUACCUGGAAACCUUCUGGAGAAAGGCAUGCUAGUCCACCAGCUUGAGCUAUAUUGGAUGCUCCAUUGAAACAGGUGCAUACAAUGCGGUUGAAAUCAUGUAUGACAGGAAACCCACCUGAAAACAAGAGUUCUUCAGGCACUACUGUCCAACCAAGACGAACUCCGGUGAACCCAGCAAAUUUGGAGAAUGAUGAAAUUUCAAUUGCAACCUGAGGAAAUUUUCUUUUCUUUUUCAGUCUCAAGACAAAAGGGUAGGUUCAAAACUAAAAUUGAUAUACUAUGUUUCAAGGACCUGAGAAAUUGAUUUAAAAUUCACUUUUCCAUCCAGGUAUUUCAUUAAUCUAUAAACAUAAAAUUUAUGUUCUCAUGAACCCUCUAGAAACAAUUAUACUUUUGAAAAUCCAAUUCCUUGUUAAAAUGGUGAGAAUCAGUUUUUACAAGCUGCCAUAAGCAGUUUUAUCAAGUCUAUUUAACAAUCCCAAAAUGAAGAGAUCCUUCUUCAAAUGCUUUCUAUAUUCGUAAAUAACUAAUCAUUAGUCAAAGCCUUGCAAGUAACUGUACUCGAACAAAUGUUGACUGGUGUCUAGGAUUUAGUUCCACUUCAUUAGAGCUUAAUCUAUUGAAAGGCAAAAGGGUCAAAUGUCGUUGGUUAGCUCUCAAUUAUAGAACCAUUACACCCUGACAUUCAGAAGACUGAAGCAGGACUUUUUUUCUUAGCUAGAUGACAUGUCAGCAACGUACCUCUUUGGCACCAGGAAUUUCAAAGAUUGAUUUAGGACUGUCAUCAGAGAUAUAGGCUGCAUAAGCGGAGUCAAAAAUAAUAAUUGAUCCAUUAUCCCUUGCAAACUCUACAAGGUGCUGCAAUUGCUUCCUUGUAGCUGCAUGACCUGUAGGAUUAUUUGGUGAACAAAAGAAGAUGAUAUCCGUUCUUGGAGUGACCGUUAGAUCAGGGAAGAAAUUAUUCUGAGGGCCAAGCUGCAUGUACUCAAUGUUUUGAUACUUCCCAGUUUUGUCUUGAAAAUUACCAGCCUGGCCGAUUAUGACACUUGAAUCUAUAUAACCCUGUUACAAAGUACAUUUUCCAUAUUAACCCUGUUACAGCUCUAAUUCAAGGAUCCAUCGUAAAUUGUUGCAAAAGGCAAAUAUGAUCAGAUAUCCUUUUUAUUUUUUGCCCUUUUGAUCAUAUUAAAAGAUUAGUUCAAUUUUGGGAAACUAAAUUAAGAAAAUGGUACAGACAGAACAAAAAGUAUGAUGACGAUAGGCAGAUCUAAAUUGUGAAAAGUAGACUACUUCGGUUCCUGUAACGCCUAAUCUUUAGGCAGAAUUCUAAUUUCUUUCUAUGAAAAAAUUAGUUUCACGUUUUGUGAUAUUUUUGUAUUUUCAAAUGCAAGUGCCCCACAUUAGUAUAGAACAUCUUCAAAGUUACAAGCAAGACAUUGAUUAAUUAUGGCAGUUUAUUACUAAAAUUAUAUCCAUAUUCAGCUUGCUCGAGGAUAUUUUCCGCUAUUAGAAAAGCAACAUGCAGUGGAACAUAAGGUUAAACAAAUAGAAGCAUGAUAACAUCACCGGAAAAGAUGGAUCCUGCACGGCUAUUGUCACUUUUGAACCUAAAAGCAGCUGCAAAUAUCGACAGAGAAAAGUAUUCAGUACUUUUAACACAAGAAAUCUGCAGGUUGGCUCAGUUGUAACAUUACUUGCAUAAGAUGCAGGCCGCUGGCUGAAGGAACAAAGACAGGGGCAUAUAAAAAAAAAAACAAUCUUAUAUGAAGAGUCACCUGAAGGCGGGAAAUAUCACACUGAGAACCAUCUGAUACAAAAACUUCUGUAUCCUUUAUGGCGACAUCCUUGUAAAAUGUUUCGGCAAUUGCUUUCCUCAAUGCCUGUUAUUCAUACAACGUUAAUAUUUGAAACGUUUACCUGAUAAAUAAUUGUUUAAACAAUCACUCCUACUAAAGUACAAUAAGCGCAAAGUUACAANNNNNNNNNNNNNNNNNNNNNNNNNNNNNNNNNNNNNNNNNNNNNNNNNNNNNNNNNNNNNNNNNNNNNNNNNNNNNNNNNNNNNNNNNNNNNNNNNNNNNNNNNNNNNNNNNNNNNNNNNNNNNNNNNNNNNNNNNNNNNNNNNNNNNNNNNNNNNNNNNNNNNNNNNNNNNNNNNNNNNNNNNNNNNNNNNNNNNNNNNNNNNNNNNNNNNNNNNNNNNNNNNNNNNNNNNNNNNNNNNNNNNNNNNNNNNNNNNNNNNNNNNNNNNNNNNNNNNNNNNNNNNNNNNNNNNNNNNNNNNNNNNNNNNNNNNNNNNNNNNNNNNNNNNNNNNNNNNNNNNNNNNNNNNNNNNNNNNNNNNNNNNNNNNNNNNNNNNNNNNNNNNNNNNNNNNNNNNNNNNNNNNNNNNNNNNNNNNNNNNNNNNNNNNNNNNNNNNNNNNNNNNNNNNNNNNNNNNNNNNNNNNNNNNNNNNNNNNNNNNNNNNNNNNNNNNNNNNNNNCAGUUUUCAAGCCAGAACAACAGGUUCCUUCCGGCUUCGACGUCUUGCUCCCGCUCGACACAAAGGACAAACAAUCCGCCAUGUUGAGAAUCAGAGAGGAGCAGUCCACGGGGGAAGAAGGAGAGGGCGCCAGAGCAUGGUGUUGGGCAGCAUCAACGGCCAAGAUUGAAAGAAUAGCAAGAGAAAAAGCAAAACAGAAUUUUGAGGCCACCAUUGUUAGAUGGGUUAUGGGGCGAAGCGUCUUAGGGAGAAGAAAAAUGGGAGAUUUGUGGAAGAAAUGAAAAGAAAAGGCGGGGGGAAGUGGAUGGUGGAAGUGGGGGGAAUUUAUUAGAGGAGAGGCAUGUGGGCACACUCGUCGGUACAAUGAAAAGGAGAAGGGUGUAGGUGUCAAGGUUCUCUUCAUCCAAGUUUCUUACCAUAUCGAAACCAAAAAAAAAAAAAAAAACUCUUUGAAUUUUGAAUUUUGAUUGCAAAUAAAAAUUGAAAACUGAAAAUUGAAAAUUUGAAUUUGAAUUUUAUUUUAUGAAUAAAAGAUUUAAAUUUAUCUAAUAAUUUGAUAAAUUUAAUAAAAAAACCCAUUCAUAUUUUAAUUUUUGUAUUUUUUUUAUUUUAAAAAUAAAUAUUAAAAUUAUACGUGAAUUGUAGUUUAAUAUGUAAUUAUAUAAAUAGAUUUUAAUUUUGUGUAAUUUUACAUGAAAUUUUUAUUUGAUUCAAUCAUUAUAAAUUAUUAACACAAUUAUUCAUAUAACAUUAUUUUAUAUUUAUAUAUUGAUACAUAAAAAAAUUAUAUUUAUCCAAUAUAAAAAUAAAUUUAUGUAUUUAUUUCUUUAAUAUGCAUGAUUAAAUCAAAAUUAAAAUUUCAAGUAUACAUUUGAACCACAAUUAGAGAUUCACGUGUAUAAUUGUACAAAAUUAAAGUUUAUGUAUAUAAUUACACAUUAAAUCAAAAUAUCAUGUAUAAUUUUGAGAUUUAUCCCUUUGAAGGAUUGAAGGAUCCUUUACUUGUUUUUCUUUUAUAAAAAAUAAUAAACAUUACAUUUAUUUGUUAGUUUACAUAAUUUAUCUAUUUAAUGUAAUAAAAGUUUAUAUAUCAUGAAUUGUCAAAAUAGUUAUUUACGUUAGUGUAAAAUUAAUAUAAUUUUUAAUAUUUUUAACUUUCUAUUAUUGAUAUUUUAACAAUUCAAUGUUAAAUUUAUCAAUAUAAUUUUACUUAUUAUACAAUUAAGGUUUUGAAUCGAUAUCUAUAUUAUAUCAAUUUAAAAUAUUGUCCAUAUUAAUAUAUAUUUAAUGAUUGAAAGUUUUUUAUAUAAAAUAAUUAAUUAAAAAGAAAUUAUUUACAUACUAUAAAUUUAGAUUUUAAAAUUAAAUUGAUUUUAUUGAAAUUAUUAUAAUUUUUAAAAAGAUUUUUAACUGAAAUAUAUAUUAGAUUGAAUAAAAUUUUAUGGCUGUAAUUCUAUAAUUUCCAUGAGAGUGAGGAGUGGGAAAAAAAGGCUAUGGUUGGACCACUCCUUUGCAUAGCCAAAAAUCAUUUUUCUUUUUCAACAAUUUUCGUUUACAUUUACUUUUUGGUACUACAAUUUUAGACAACUUUGGCCAAAGUGGUUUCUUACUUUCCUUCACCUAAACAAGAUUCGUACAAUUUUGGAGUAAAAGAAAGAAAAAGAAACAACAUUAAUUUGCCUUUUUUUAUUUUUCAAAUAUUUUUUAAUAAAGUAAACAACUUUUUUUCCUUAAAUAUUAAGAACUGAAAUUCUGGAAUUUAUUUAUAUGCAAAUUUCACCAUAAAUAUCGUGAUAUUUUAUAAUAAAAAAUUCUUUUUUCACCCAUGAUUUUCGUUUUAUUUUCCUUUUUUACUUAUUUAAACUAUUCCAUCAUUCAUCUUUUACUGCUCAAUUAAAAAUGCUAAAGAUUAAAAAAAAAUUUGAUUUGUCACCCUCCUAUUAAAAAAAAAUAAGAAUGAUAUAGAAUCACAGUUUUAUAUAAUUCCUUAUCCUUCUCUUUUAAUAGAGUUGUUUGUAUAAAUAUAUCUAUAAUUCAUAAAAAUUAACAUAAAUAAACAGAAUGAAUUUUCCAUCAAUUAAUUUAAACAACUCCACCUGUCAUGCUAUUUGUAAGAUUUUUUUUUUCUAUUUAAUGGAAGAGAAAUAUUUUUAAAAUAUAAUUUUUUUCAAAAAAAAUAAAAUAAAAUUGACAUUGAAAAGGAAUGAGGCAACAAGGGAAUAACUUUACCAACGUUUAAUUAUCCUUUGAAUAGAUACGUUGCUUAAUAUGUUAAUAUAAGCAGAGAUAGCAUGGUUGCCCCAAAUUCCAAAAGUUUGAUGUACGCCUGCCCAAUCAGCUGUGCCUUGUUAUAAUUCACAAUAACUAGCCAUGUUCAUUCAUAUAUAUUAGUUAUAUAAUAAAUUACAUUUUUUAUUUUAUUAUUGUUUACUUAAAUUUAGUCAUUAUCCUUUUAAAAAUAUUCAAAUCACAUCCUUUUUAUGUAAAUGUUAAUUAAAAUAGUAAUUUUUUAACAAUGUUGGUGUGGCAACUCCCGUGUAGACCUGAUGUAAAAAUUUAGGCAUGUUUUCUAGGCUCGACCUAACCCGAAAAAUAGAUCUAAAGUUUUUUUCAAGUUCAAUUCUGCCUGCCCGUAUUAAAAUUUUUUUUAUACAGAAACAAAUUUUAAAAAUAUAAUACAUCAAAUACACUAAAAAUAUUAAAAUAAAUAUUUCCCAACAAAUUGAAAAUACAUUAAAAAAUAACACUAAGAUAGUUGCAACUUAACAAACAAAUGCCUCUAAAAUAGUAGCAAAAUUAACAAUAAAAUAAAAGUUAUACAAUAUCCAAAAAAAUAACAACAAAAUAGUAGUAAUAGAAUAACAAAAUGAUAGUAAAACAACAGUAAACAACAUCAAGAAAGGAGGGAAAUUUUUUUUAGUCAAAUUCGGGUCAAGCUCAAGUCAAAAAAUUAUUACCCAAGGAAGCGAGACUUAUUUUUUGUCCUAACCCAUUUUUUGGGCUGUAUUUUUAUCAAAAUCCUCUUACUUUUCGAGUAAGCCUUCGAGCUAGGACAGAUAGUCUAGCCCAUGAUUAAUUCUAUUCGCGUGACACUCCACAUCUAUUAAUAUUAUAUGUCAUGUCAAUAAAUAAUUUAAAUUUUAUAAAAAUAUUUAAAAAUAAAAAAUUCAAAAUCUAAAAAAUAAUAAAAUAAAAAUAAAGUAAAUAUGAAUUGUAAUGCAAAUUAUAAUAUUUAAAAAUUUAAUAUUUUUAUUAAAAAUAAUUUUACUUUUUAAAGAAAAUUAAUGAUUAAAUUCAAUAAUUUUAAAAAGUUGAAGAUAAACUUUAACUGAAAAAGGAAAUAAAUUAUAUUAAUAUAAUCGUAAAAAAUAUUGUUUUUAGGCACUAAGAAAAUAGUGCCACAUCAUUAAAUUUUAAAGAUAACAAAUUAUUAUUAUACACUCAUUUAUAUCUAAUAUCUUUUUCAACUUCAUUUAACUUUAAUUAAAUUACUUAAAAUAAUUAAUUUUUUAAAUUAUAAACAAACAUCUUUUCUUCUUUUACAAAUUUUAAUCAUUUUAUUUUUUUUCAAUAAGUUAAUCUCUUUUUUUGCAACUAAUUUUAAAAAAGCUAGUAAUUUUUGUGUAAUUUUUCCAUGUCAUUGACACAUAAUUUUAGUAAUUAUUUUAUCAUAAACCCCAAACUUAGAACAUUAGAUCUUGAACUCAAACCCUAAAUUUUAAACCUUGAACCUUGAUAUUUAGAGUAAGGGUUCAGGAUUUAAGGUUCAAGGUUCGGGUUUGGGUUUAAGGUUAUGAAUUUGGGGUUUGAGAUUUGGGUUUAAUGGUUUAGGGUUACAAGUUAUGAGUUUAGAUUUAGGUUUAAGAUUCAAGGGUUCGAGCUUACGUGUUUGGUGUUCAAGUUUAGGAUUUUAGGUUUAAGGUUUUGGGUUCAUGGUUUAAAAUUCUAGAUUUAGGGUUCAUGAUUUUGGGUUUGGGGUUGAGAGUAAAAAAAUUACCAAAACUAUGUGUUAAUCACAUGAAAAAUAUUGUUGAAAUGUUAUUAAAUAAUUCGAAAUGGACCAUGAAUAAUAUAAUAGGAAGAGUUUAUAAAAUAAUUUUUUUAAGGAUGAGUGUUUAAUAAUAAUUUUAUAUCUUUAAGAUUUGAUGAUAUAACAAAAUUUUAUUAAUAUUUAAAAAUAUUAAUUUUUAGCAUCAUCCUAAUAUAAAUUAUUUUAAAAAAAUAAACAUAAGAAGGUAAACAUUUAAAGCUAAAUAUUCAUUUAAAGUAUGGUUGGAACUUGGAAGUAGAGGAUUGUGUUAAGUGUUUGUAGGAUGCAUGCCAACCGGUGAUAUGAAAGGAUUCCAGAUGCUUCCAAGUUACAACCCACCUCUAAAUGUAAAAUAAAAAUCCACUUCCCAUAAAAAUACCAAAAUGGUGGGGUUUCUUUUCUUAAAGAAAAAAAAAAUGAAAGUGGUGAAAUUUAUAUCCUGUUAUGAUGGGUUGUAAUCAUAGUAGCCUUCAAUUUUGAAAUUUUGUAAAUGCUUUUUUUUUAAAAAAAUUACCAUAAAAGAUUUUUUUUACUAAAAGUUAAAUUAUAUUUUUUUUAUUUUAUUUAAAAAAUAAGUAAAUUAUAUUUUAAAUUAAGUAAUAAAUUAUUUUUUAUAAAAAAAUUUAUACACAUUUACUAUUAAAAUUUAAUUUAUAUAUAUUAGAAUGAGGUACAUAUAACACAUACGUUAGGCGUUAAUGUCUAAUUAUUCUGUCAAUCACGUUAAUUUUUUAAUUUAAUAUACAAAAAUUAAUUCUUUUAUUUUUUAAUAAAAAGAAUAAAAUUCAAUUUGUUAUAAUUUUGGUUGGAAGAUAGUGUUAAUAAGCCUCAAUUCAUCCACGAAUUUAGCUUUGUUGGGUAGUGGUGAGUAAUGGGUAAGACUUUUAGUUCAGGUAUAGGGCGUUAGUUCAUAAUGCAUUAAUUUAUAUUUCCAAAAUUGCUUAUUCCACACUUCUAUUAAUAAUUAUUCCAAAAUUCAAUAAUUUAAUUAAAGAAAUCAAUGGAUCGAUUCUAGAUUGAACUAGAAGACUUGAGUUAAUGGCUCAAUGCCAAUAUUUUAUUCCUGUACCAAUAUUAAACGUUUCAUUUUCUAACUAGUUUCUUUAUGCACAUUUCUUUAGUUUCUUUGACUUCAACUUCCUAGUUUGACUGAUUAUGGACCAUCGUUUACACGUGAUUACUAUAUUUAAAUAUAUAAAAUUUAUUUCCCUCAAAAAAAAAAAAACAAAAAAAACUCACUAGAUUAUAUCCCACUCACUGUGUGAGUGAAAAAAAUAUGUAAUAUAUUCAUAAAAAUUUGAUAUAAAAUUUUUAUAUGAUUUUAAUUAAAAUGGUAAAAUAAAAUUGAUGAUGGUUGGGUUUUAAUCUUCGAGUCUCAUCAAUAGUAUAUAUUUUUAAAGAUUUAACAAGAAAUUAUUUUGUAAAAGUUGAUUUUUUGUUAGUUUAUAAUUAAAUUAAAAUCUGAUUAAAAAGUGAUAUUAACUUAAUAAAAAAUUUCAUUAUAAAUAGAUUAAAAAAAAACCUUGAUAAAACUACAAAAAGGUCUUGAGGAAUCAAUCAAAUAUGUGUGGAAGAAAGAAAAUUAAGGGAAAAAUAUUUUUGAGGAAUCAAUCACUUUUCUUAAGCCUUUAAUUUUACUUCUAAAAUACAAUAAAUCAUAAAAAAAAAACAGAACAGAGUAGUAAAAAUAAUACUUUAAAAUAUGUGUCUCCUGGUACAAAUUAUGUUUCUAAUAUAUAUUGUAUGGCACAAAGUGUGUUGUCAUAACACUUUUUCAAUAUAUUUAUACAUAUAUUAUGGCACAAAUUAUGUUUCUUAUACAAACUUAAUGGCAAAAGGUGUGUUGUGUUAUUCCAAUAUAUUUGUACUUAUUUUAUGACACAAGGUAAAGUGAAACAUUUUAGAAAAGUCAUGUUGGAAUUAUAUAAAACCAAUAGGUAAACUAAUUUACUUAGUGGGUUAAGUAUCUAAGUCAAUUAUUUAGGUUAUACAAAUUUUGUUAUUAAAAUUUCAUAUACCAUGUAUUUCUUAACAAUAGGAAAUUACUAAUCAUGUAAACUAUUAAUAGAUAAUAAUUUUUUUUAAAGAAGUAACAAAUAAUAAGUUCGUAAUGAACUAAUUGAAAUUUUAAUCUUUUUCUAUUUUAUAUAAGUUGAAAUGAGUUAGUUGAAUUUUUAAUUUAUUGGAGGUUAUUUGGGUAAGACAGAGAAGUGGUAAAGAUGUGCGAUUCAUCUUGUUUGAUAUAAAACGAAUAACCAUCAAACAAUAUGGUCAGAGUUGAGAGUAAGAAAGAAGAAAGGAAUAAGAAGGAAUGGGGUGAGCAGCCUUAAGAAGGAAUUCCUUGCUAUCUAGUUUUUACAGUUCUUAUAUACCUUUAGUCCCUUAUCCCUAGACACCACAUGACUAAUUGCCAUUCGCGUGUCAAGUGACCAAGUGGUAUGAUUGUACAUGGCUAAGUAAAAUUGAUUUACCCUGUGUCAUCUCAAAUGGGAUGUUGUGACAAGAAUUUAAUGUGGCGAUUAUAAGGGCUCACGCAAUUGUUGGCCCGAGGAGUCUCCCCUGAGGAGCUUGAGGGGUUUGUUUGAGCGGUUCUUCCAAGGAGAUUGUCCGCACCGUUUAUAGGCUUACUGCUUGGUCCAAACAAUCAGGUAUAACAUAAUCAAAUUCUAUUGUGUCAUGAGGGAAAAUACAGGUUCUUAAUAUACUAUAUUCAAGCCAGCUUUGUCCGAGUAUUAUUUGCUAUUUUCAACUCGUUAUACUACACCAAUUUCAAGCUGAAAUAUAUGAUAUGAUCGAAUGAUCAUUCAAUAAGGUUAUCAAAGGAUUCAGGAUAAACGGUAGGUACGAAGAUAUAAAUAAACUUAAAUCUAAAUUUUAUACAGCCUCCCAUCCAUCCCUUGUAUUAUUUCUCAAAGAUCUCCAUGUUAUUUGCAGGCCAACAAGCUUAUGUCGAUAAUCCAAGUCAAAAUAUCUGCAUUUACAGAUGCAAUUAAUCCCCCAUAUGCCUGCAUUUCAUGUAUCAUUCAAUAAUUGAAGGUGCCAGGGUGUUAGGGAAGUUGUGCUGACCUUCCUAGGUGCAGUGCCAACUCAAGUUCAAUUAUUGUGCUAUCAGCAGAAGGCUAGACGACAUAUACCCAUGGCAGCCCAUGGCCCCCAAGGAAUGGCUGUCUUAGCUCCUUUGACAAGAAAGCAAAUAGAGGGAAUGAAAGUUAGGAAACUUAUUGCUAACAAUUUAUUAAUAAACUACAUCUGGUAAUAUGCAAAUACAUGAAAACCAAUCACUUCGACCACCCGCAUGCUUGGCACACCUACAUGUUAUGUUUACCCACACUUCCCUUUUUCCCCCCUUUUGUCCUGAAGGAACAUAUUCAUGCAUUGACACAUUUGUAUUACACUCCCGAGUUAGUGUAACAAACAUGCAUGGAUGUCUUGUGUAACAAAAUACAUUUGGUCAGAGGCAAUGCAUGUGCACAGAAGGUUAUUUUAUUAUCUAAUUAGUUCUCUAGUUUUUAGUCAAGUUGAGCUAGUGGAUCCUGCAUGGUCCUCCACAUCCACAGAUGAUAUAUGAAGAUAUGAAGAGACCAGGUGACGGCAGUUUAUUAGAAAUUCAUCCAAAAGGGGAUAAUUAAUACCGAAGACAUCUACAUAUGCCAUUUUUUAAUUCAAUUCCGUCAGCAUAAACUGUAUCUCAUCAUGAAAAUAACUUGAAGUAUUCUAUGAAAGAAAACCUUCUGGGUCACUUAAGCAAAAGAAGACAUGGUGUAUAUCUGUCGGCCUGAAACUUUUACUUCAGGCCAUGACCCAAUAAGCUGCAGCAAAUACGCAGCAAAUUUUGUUUUUCAGUCGAGCUCAGGUUCACAAAUUCAAGCAUUAAUCACGAAACAGUUUUAGAUGCCAAACUGCUAUGACGACUACAUCAAUAUCAAAGUAAUCUAAUAUGGAAUAGACAAUCCCAACGGGUUGAUAGAAAUUAAGACAGCUGGUCAACUGAACUCGCUUUAACAGAAAAACUUCUACCACCUUGUCACAAGGACGUUUACUAUAAAGAGGAACUGAUAAACCGGAUUAGCACUGGUCCAAUAUGAAGACAUUUUGCCUAAGAAUCAGGUCAAUGAAUAAUUUUCACUCCUGUUGAUAAUUUAUUUAAUGAAAAGGAAUGACGAUAGCAUUCUAAAUGGACAAAUAAGGGUUCACCUUUGAAAAUCUUAAGCCUGCAACAGUCGGCCAUAUUUUCUAUGAUGAUCUUAUGAUGAAUUUCCACAUGAUAUUAAUCAAUUUUAAACUAGGGCAAAGAUAACAAACUUACUGUGCAUGAUUACUGAAUCGCCUUUUCACCAAUGACACAAUAACAGUAACAUCAUCAAGCUUGCCGCCCCUAUAUCCCACGUAUCCAGCUGCCUGCACUUCAUCUGACAAUGGGCUCCUCACCAAUGAUAACUGACCAACCUCUUGCGCUCUAGUUGCCAAGAGUUCUGCUAUUUCCUGCCCAUUAAAUAAAUGUUGGGGUUACCAUGCACAUAAGACUAUCUUUUCAUGUCACACAUGCACCUUAUGCAUUUUACUACUAUAUUUGGGAAAGGAAAUGGAAAUGGAAAAAAACAGUGAUAAGCACCUGGGGCCUUAAACUCUCUUGCAAUGAUUUGGAGACAAUUGAAACUAUAUCUCGCUCGUAAAGAUUAUCAAAAAGUCCAUCAGUUGCAGUGAUAAUCACAUCUUUUUCAUACAAUUCAACUUUGUAAACCUGAACCAGCAGCCAUGUGUAAAAAGAUUGACCCAUAUUAUUUUACCUUUAUACGAGGAGGAAAUGGGAAAGGGGGAGAAAAGAACUUUUUACCUUCACCUUCUAACAUAAAGGAAACUCAAUAUAUGUUUGAAAAUGAAGAUAUAGGAUCAUAUCAGCUUUCAAAGUGCAGGAGGCAAUUACAAAUAUAUUUUUAGUGCAGGAGGCAAUUACAAAUAUAUUUUUAUCUUUUGUAUGCAAUAAUAAGAUUUUUUAUCUUUUUAGAAAUGGAAUUCAACCAGUAUACCUCUACAAAGUCAGAGGGUUGAUCUCCUCUUGCAAUCUGUACAGGAAAAGCCAACUCAUAAACCAUCGGAGAAGACCUCUUAAACACAGCACCGUUUCUUAUGAUCAUGAAGCCUGAAUCACCAAUAUUUGCCACAUGGAGAGCCUGCAGAUUUAUAAAGGCAUAGCCUUCCAAGUAUGAGUUGUAAAAAGGAACACCAAGUUCAUUCUCAGCCUCUUCUUUUUUGAAUUAUAAUAAAAUCAAGCCAUUAUAUCUAUGAGAAAAGAAAUAUAUUCAUUCCCACAAAGUAGAUUGACUAGCUAAUAAUUAGCAUCAGUCGUCAGUUCAUGCAUAUUUUGACAACAGUAGUUUUACUAAUCAUAAUACACAGAAGAUAAAUUUCAGUCUAAGCAUGAACAUUAUGAACUUUUGGAAAUAUGUUUCUUUAGAUCCAAUAGCAAUAUGAACUACUCUAUUUCAAUCAGACUAGUGGAAUAUGAAGAAUCUUUUUUGUAUAUGAUUAGUAAUAUUCCUACGUCAAGAAAGCAAUCUUUUGGAAAAAUCAUCAUUCAUGCAAAUAAGACUCUCAAUAAGAAUUUGAAAAUGUUUUGUUAACUCAUUAACCUUGUACUUUGCGCAGACAAAAAGUUCAUAGAAAAAAAAUUCAGAAAAGUUGAGCAAUUAAGUUUUCAUCAAAUGACAAGUCUAUUUGUAUAUCAAGUAACCAUUCCUCUAGUGAAGUUAAUUAGGUUUGCUUAAAUUUCUCGACUCAAGGCUUGUUAGUAAAAUCCUAGACUUGUUUGCAAACUGUGAGUCUUUGUUUGGUUAGGAUUAGGUUGUAAGUUAGUUCUAUGAUAUAACGACUAAUUGAAAUUUGCAUAGGAGAAAAGAGUGUCAAGUUGAAGGACAACAUACCUGAUCAUCAAAGUAAGCAACCAAAACCGUAGACGAACCACAAGAUUGAGUAUUUGCUGCAGCUCUAUUAAGGAUCUCAACUGGGUCAGUUAUUGGAACUCCAUUUCUAUCAGACACAAUUCUUUCACAGUUUUCCAUAAGUUCUUUUGCAUAUACUCCAACACUAAUCCCUGAAGGAUAAGAUAGGAAACAAAUAAUUCAGUCCAGACAGUGCAAAACAUACGAUGACAUUUAUUAUGCGUUCCAGUAUGCUGCCAGGGAUUCAACAUAUAUUUAAUGUAAAUUUAAUAUAUUUCCUAGCAACUCUUUCCUGGUUUGCAGUGCAAGGAUAAAAAUGAAACAUAAACUCAUUCCAUACAAAGAAUUGGUCCUGGUGAAAACAAAAAUAAGGAUAAUAAAAAAGAAUAAUACCUUCAAAUGACCACUGACCAACUCCAUCAGCAACACCUAGCCAAUUCUGGCAGGCAAUAAAAUAAGCAUCCUCUCCACCUGCGAAGGCCUGGAAUUAUUACUAUUUGAAUUACUCAAACAGAAUUCUCAAACUCAAGUCAAAUAUACAUCAAAGUGCCCAAGCAACUGAUAUCUUUCAAAAUUAAAAAUUUCUAAGGUAUUAAUUGUUACUUUUACAUCCAAAGUUCAUUAAGCUACUCUCAAUAACGAGAUGCAUUUUUUUGGCAUUAUAUUGAUCUGAAAAUGUUAAAAAGUCAAGCUAGACAAAACCUGACGGUAAAUUUAACAAAGAGUUUUGGUUUAUUUUUAUCCACUUCGACCAUAAUUCCAAAGUUUUCAUGAUUCUGGCAAAUUAAAACAAUUAGUUGAAGAGGUAAAACUGAUUAUGACUAUCCUAAGUACCUUAGUCGGAUUUGGCAACAGAGCAGCACCAGAAUAUAAGAAAAAUCCUGCUGUUGAGAUUUCCUCCCUGUUUGAACACAUUUAGAAAAAAAGUUGAGGAUGUAAGAGAACUUGACAAAAUGUUGAAGGGAGAAAGAUCAACCAAUUAUUUAAAAGAGUAAAUCAUAGAGAACAGCAACAAUAUGGCCAAAAGACAAGCAUAAGUAGAAAAAUUUCAACCUGAACUCAAUGCAAUGAUCUAUAAGAAAUAACUGAUGCAUUGAUCUAUAAGAUAGACAGGAACCUCUUUGUGUAUUCGUUUGACAAUAGAGUAGUUUACCUUUCCAAAGUUCCACCAGACUGUAACUCUACACCUUUAAGCAUUGUCAGCUGUCUGACUUUGUUAUCACUUUGUGCAUCAGCCUCAGUUAUCUCUGCUUGGGAAAUUGAGAAAGCCACACCCUCAUCCAACUACAAACAACAAAUAUACAUAUUACUCCAGGCAAUUUGAUUUGAGAGCACAAAUAAAUUCAGAUCCUCAAUGAGUGAGUUCUUUGCUUGCGAUGAUAAUGCAAUAGGCUUCAAAAUAAAGUAUUAUAUAGACAAAAACCGGUGACAUGCACAAGCAGGCAGCAUUUGACAAUUAGGACGGAGAAACCAUAUGAAGCCCAAUCAAUAUUUUUUAAAGGUAGUUCUGGGUUUCUGGAACUUAAUAAAGCAUAAAACUCUGAAGAAAAUAAAAAUAUGUUACCAACAACUAGUCAUACUCAUGAGAAUUCCACAAUUUUAAAGACGUUUUUAAGACAAUUAAACCCAAAACAUGCCCAAGUCUUGUAUUAUAACUCUAUAUUAGAUAGUUAAAUCCUAAAUUUAUUUUUAUUGCUUUGCUGAUAAUAACAGAACUUCUCUAGCAACUAGACAGCCAGAAUGUUUAGAUAAAGCACAUAUUUUAUAUUUGAAUCUUGGGUUAGUCACACAAAAACAGGAUCCUCACUGUGAUAUUCUUUAGGCCUUAGUCUUAACAGCUUUGAUGGCAUAAAAAAGCAAUAAGGAUUAUUGAUGAUUACUUUCUAUGUAAAAUUAUUUGACCUAGAAGAAGAGGGAAAACCAUUCAAUAUCCCAUCAUCAAUUUUGUUACUAUUUGUAGUAUUACAUUUAUAUAAUUUGACUGGGAUAUCCAAAUUGAAUAUAAACACCCAAAAGGGACAAGUUGUAGCUGCUAAUAUAAACAAAAAUAGAGAACUAACCAUUUUUGAGCUCUUGACUAUGUCAUUAUCAACAGAUUUAUUCGUUGUUGUAUGGACUGUAGCCUCAUUGAGAACUGACUCAACCUCAGAUAAAGUGGAGUUCAACUUAAUUUCACCAACUUCACCUUCAGUCGUAUCCUCUAUCAUCACUAGCAUUUUUGAUGCAUUUAUGCUUUCUUCAUUGCUAUGUUCUUUGGAAGGCACAGAUUUUUGAGCAACUUCUUCACCAGCAUCAUCCUUUCCGCUUUCCUGGAACUCAAGAUUAUUAGGCAUUUCAAUAUUGGAGCAGGCUCCUAAAGAAGUAGAUUGAAUUUCAAUUUCACUUUCAAUGCUAUUUUCAGAAUCUGCUACUUGAGCACAAACCUCUCCCACCGCUAAGUCCAUCUUAGAUUCCAUAUUCAAAGUAAUACUUUCAAUUUUACCAAUUCUCUCACCAUUUUCCCCGGCACCACUAUUUUCUUCCUCCUCCAGAUUAACACUGUGAGAAACUUCGCUUUUGGAACUAAGCUCUAAAGAAGCUAAUUCAGUUCUAGUUUCACUUCCACUAGCAGGAGCUUCCAAUGGAGGAGAAGCCUUUUCUAAAUCAGGAACUAAAGCCAUCUUAGACUCCAUAUUCGAAGUAGUACACUCAAAUUUACCAAUUCUUUCACCUUUUUCCUCAGCACUAGUGUCUUCUUCCUCUUCCAACUUAACACUCUGGGGAUCUUCACUUUUGGAACCGGACUCUAAAGGAGCUGAUUCAGUUGUAAUUUCACUUUCAAUGGCAGAAGCUUCCAGUGGAGGAGAAGCCUUUUCUGUAUCAGCAACUAAAGCUAUCUUAGACUCCGUAUUCAAAAUUGUACACUCAAUUUUACCAAUUCCCUCACCUUCUUCCUCAGCACCAGUAUUUUCUUCCUUUUCCAACUUAACACUCUGGGGAACUUUACUUUUGGAACUGGACUCUGAAGGAGCUAAUGCAGUUGUAGUUUCACUUUCAAUAGCAAAAGCUUCCAGUGGAGGAGAAGCCUUUUCUGUAUCAGGAACUAAAGCCAUCUUAGACUCUGUAUUCAAAAUAGAACAUUCAAUUUUACCAAUUCCCUCACCUUUUUCCUCAGCACCAGCAUUUUCAUCCUCUUCCAACUUAACACUGUGGGGAACUUCACUUUUGGAACUGGACUCUGAAGGAGCUAAUUCAGUUGUAAUUUCACUUUCAAUAGCAGAAACUUCAAGUGGAAGCGCAGCCUUUUCUGUAUCAAGAACUAAAGCCAUCUUAGACUCUGUAUUCAAAAUAGUACACUCAAUUUUACCAAACCCCUCACCAUUUUCCUCAGCACCAGCGUUUUCUUCUUCUUCCAACUUAACACUGUGGGGAACUUCACUUUCCAAACCAGACUCUGAAGGAGCCGAUUCAGUUGUAAUUUCACUUCCAAUAUCAGAAGCUCCCAGUGGGGGAGAAACCUUUUCUAUAUCAGGAGCUAAAUCCAUCUCUGAUACCAUAUUCAGAGCAGUAUCCUCAGUUUUACCAUCAUUCUCACCACUUCCUUCAGAACCACCCUUAUUUGACUCCUGUAACUUAACACCAUGGGGCACUUCAACUUCGGAACCCAACUCUGGUGAACCUAAUAGAGUAGUAGUUUCACUUUCAACAACAGAAGCUGUCAAUGGAGUAGAAACCAUUUCUACAUGAUGAACUAAUUCCUGAUCUAAUGCCACAUUCAAUUUACUAGAACCCUCAGUUUUACUAAUGCACUCACCAUUUUCCUUGGGGACAACAUUAUUUUCUACUUUUACAACAUCCCCAAGCUCAUCAAGUUGAUCUUUAGUAUUUAUAUUCUUAGAAGAAUCAACUGAUUUUUUCUCAACCUUUCUGCCAUCACUGACAACAGAGGCAGGUUUCUCUUUAACAACUUCAGUUACUUUGGUUGCAUUUCGUCUUAGUUUUCUCUUAGGUUGAGAUUUAACCUGAAAAUUACGGCCAACUUUCUUCCUCAUAGGUUCCACAGCUGCAGCAUCUCCAUCAGAAACACCAACCGCUUUAAUACUGCUCUUAUCUACCUUGUCCAAAUCUUUGCCACCAACUUUGGCAACAACCUUAGCACUUUCAUCGGUUGUUUGCGUUUGAUCUUCAAUUAUUGCCAUUUCACUCGCAUUUCCAAACCGGAAGAUAACGCUGCCAUCAGAAUGCUCUGCACAUUUCACCAACGCUUACAAUUAUCCUAACGAACAAAAUUUAAUCUAAGCUUCUUUUACUUGAAAUUCACCAGUUACUAAAAAUGCAACACACUUUCAAACAUCAUAACAUUAUGUUGUUCUUAACAAUAGUUGAUUCAACAAACAGUAGAUUCGAAUUCGAUCAUUCGAGAGUAAACAAAAAAAAGAAAAGAAAAGAAAAGAAUUAAAGUGAUCAUUUUAAACGGCGUACCGGUUGCUGAAAUGAUAUCUACAUCAGCAGAAACGGAAUCGGAACUUGAGCACUUGGAAACGACGAACUGGUGAUUGAAUUUAAGUUUGGGAGGAGAGAAGCGAAGUGUGUGAAAAUGCAAUUGAGGGAAGCGGAAGCUCCAGAAGAGUGAGUUGUUGCAGCUGGGAAAACUCAUGGAGCGAGCUUCAAGAGAGGCGAAGAAGAAAGGAUCGGCAGCCAUUGCAUAAUUUAUACUACCAUUUUACAAAAGACUAAACGCAACGGUGAAAGCUUAUUUUAGAAUGAGUUUAAGCUUUAAAGCUGGGGAAUUCAUAGCUUAUUCUACUGUUCUUAGCGUGAUAUUAUGGAUAAGGAGAAUGAUUGAAGCGGGGAUCGGCUGUUGAUGACCAGGGGUUCAAAUCUACAGUUUUACACGUGUCAGAAGAAGAAAAUAUUAGUAGGAAAAAAAUUAACAAAAGAAAAAAAAAUUAGAGCACAUAUUUUUUCCCCACAUUUUCUUUCUGACGCCACAAAUAGUAGUGCCUAGUUGGGGGAUGUUGUUGCGAUUUUGGUGAUGAGGUCCCUUAUUCUCUGUAGAAAUGGCAACAGUGCAGAUCAAAAUUUCUUUUUGAGUAAAACAGUAAGAAUAAGUUAGAUAAUAUAUUACCGCCGGUUAAAAUUUUUAAGAUUACACGUGUUCAUAUGCUUUAAUCAUGAAUUAGUUAUAAACUAUCAUAAUUUUUAGUCACUUGUAAUUGUUUAUGGUAAAGAAAAAGAAAAUAUUUUUGUUUAUUUUUAAGAGGUUUUAUUUUUGUAAGAGUUUUUACUAACCUUUUAAUCUCAAUUUUGAAUUUUUAUUAAGUAUUCUAGUCUAAUUAUUUUGGAACAUGUGUUAAAUAAGUUUUCUCCUUGUGUUAUAUACCAAUAACCUAUGUAGCACUAAUAUUUUUUUUUUCUCAAUUUAGCCUUUAUUUUUUAGCAAAAUUUGACAUUAAUUUAAAAAUAGUCAAAUUUAACUAUUAAUAUUUUAAAAAGAGUUAGGAAUUACUCUUUUUUUUUAACUAAGACCUUAAAUUUUUAAACCAUUACAGCUCAAAUGGUAUCAUAUAUUUUUUAAAAUUUUUAUGAACUUUAUAUACAUAAUGAACUUUGUUGAAUAUUUUUAUCAUUUUUAAAUUAUUUGGCAACGUGACAUAUAAGAUAAAUACUAUCAUGUACACAUAGACUAGCACAUGGGUUGUCACAUUAAUAUCGUUAAAAAACAAUUUUUUAGUCAGUGUUUCCAUAAAAAAAAAGGUAUUUCAAAUUUUUUUUGAAUAGUUAAUGGUCAAAUUUAGCUAAAGAAAAGAAUAAAUACUAAACUGACAAAAGACGUAAAUAUUGAGGGAUGAAUUUAUCAUUGUACAUUUAAUUAAUGAAAUGUAACAUUAGUAAAAAUUUUAAUUUAUUAAACUAGUUUUUCAACCCACGCACGUUGAGUUCAUCAUUUUUGGGCUAAAUAGUUAAAAUUCAAAUGUUACGAUAUAUUCUAAGUUUUUGUACUCUCUCUAUAUUUGACAUUUAAUCCCCAUUUUUUAUUUUUAAGAAUUUUGUUUAUCUAUUUUUCGAAUUUAAAAAUUCAAGUCCAAUUGUUAACUUUGUUAAAUUUAUUGAUGUGACAUUCUAAAUAUUUUAGAAAAAGUACUUACUAGAUAAUCAUGUCGCAAAAAAUGACGUCAUAAUAGACUUGAAAUUAACAAAAAGUUUAACAAUGUUAACAAUUCUUUAAAUUUACAUUAACAUUUUAAUUAGAAUAAAGUAUUUAGAUAAACCAAUAGAAUUAUAAACAUUGAGUUACCAAAUUAUAUAAAAAAAAUCAAUUAUAAAGAUCAGAUCUCAAAUUUAGACGUAGUAUGGACACCAAAAUUGAUAUUUAACUUUUUUUUACAUAAUUAAAAAGUAAAAGGGUACCAAAAUUGAAAAUUCACUAGUAUAGUUAAAAAUAUAAAAAAAAUAAAAGUAAACAAUAUUCGGAGGUCAUAUGCUUCAAUAGGCUUAAAUAAGAGUUAAUAUGUUUUAGCAUACUUGAACCAGAGGCAAAUCCAUGCCUGCCCCUCUAAAAUGAAAAAUUGUUAUUUAAGCUUUUUAAAAUUUUUUAAAAAUUUUAAAUUAACAAAGGUAAAAUUUUCUUUUGACCCCUUAAAAUUAUAAAAAUUCAAUUUAAUCUUUUAAAAAUUAUAAAAAUAUAAACUAUAAAAAAUUAAAAAUUGUUCUAGUUUCCAUUGAGUUCAACCCUCAUUUUCCCGUAAAUAGAAGGCUUUAUCCAAUAGCAAAAAUUUAGCUGCAGUUGGUUGCGAAUUUCGAGCGCCCAGUUAAUCUGUUAUGCUCAUUUGAGCUAAUAAAUGGAGGUCUAGUUAUUUUGAAACUUCCAACAUAGAAUCUCAAAUUCUAUUUGUUAGGCAAUUCAUAUGAAAUCAAAGAUACUUACAUAUGUUAGGAGAAAAAAAAACACUAAGUACAGAGAUCGUUAAUCAAAUAAAAAAAAGAACAUAAUUGGUUAAAUGUAGAAGAACCAUGAGAGAGUAAUUUCAGCAAUGGCGAGCUAACUAGCUAAGGUGAAGAAGACAAAAGGCGAGUGAGUUCAUCAGAGAGUGGAGGCCUUGAAAGUGUUGUCAAAGACAGAACAAAAUCCUUUGGAACCAAACACUUUUCUUCUAUGUAAAGCUUUUCUUGUACCUUUGAAGAUGUUACAAUUUGCAUGCUUUCCUUGUCCUUGCGAUUCCCUUCCUUAUUUUCCUGCAUUUAUAAUUAAACCCCUUAAUUUGCUUAUUUUACCAAUCAUGUAAUGGUAAAAAUACCUCCCCAAUCCCUCUCAAUUGGUCCCUUCUUUUAAAAAAAGAGCAAUUUAAUCUUUGUCAAUUUUAAACAUUAACAACUAAAGACAAUUUUCGUCAAUAUAUCGUACAUAAUUUUGAUUGGUAAAACAGCACAUUUAGCCCUUGAUGUUUACAUGUUUUGUCAAUUUGAUCUUGGUUCUAAAAGAUUUAAUAAAUUUAGGCUCAACAUUUGCACAUAUAGGCAAAUGUUGUACACUAAAUUUGGGAUCACAUUGACAAAUUAAAUGUCUAAAAUUUGAGAGCUAAAUUUAUUAUUAUAACAAUCAAAAUUAUGUACAAUUGAUGAAAAACAUUAAUAUCCAAAAUAAUGUUCUUUAAUUGCUUACUUUUGAAAUUAAUAAAGAUUAAAUUACUAUAAUUUUUUUAAAGAAACCAAUAAUAUGAUUGAAAUUGAUAGAUAUCGGAAAGGUUUCUUAAGAAUGAAAAUCUAGGUUUCUAUAUACUUGGGGUAGAGGAAAUUGAAAUUUUCCUUUUUUUUUUAAUAAAUGAUGACAGUAAUCUAAUUACAAAAAUAAAAUAAAAGAAAAGAAAAGAAAAGAAAAAAAGAGAGUAAGAAAUAGCCGAGAAAGUUACUGGAAAGGAGUUCAUAAGUUGAAGGAUUCCAAGUUGAGCUUGUAAAUACUUGACAUAUUUAAAAGCAGCUUGAAGCAUUUCAGCAGUGUUCAUCUUAGUCCCACCAGGUACAAGCUUCCCAAGUUCUUGAGUCUUCUUAGUUAUCUUCCUCCGCCGCUCUCUCGCCGCAAUGCUUUGUACCGACACACACUUUUCAUCGCUAAUUUUCUUACAGUUUCCUACUGUGUGUGUUCCUUCCAAGUUAUAAACACCAUUCAUGCUAUGAGGGCAAGAAUUUAGAGCAACCCCAUCAAAGAAACCAGGCAUCAAACAAUGAUCUUCGAUGAGUUUGUGGCGUUUAGGGCAUGGAUAAGAGCUGAAGUAAUCGUAUGGGGUGAUUAAAGGGUCGUAAGGGAGUAAAGGGGCACUGUAGUUUUCAGGGUGAAGGAAAUUGUUGUUUAGGUCAAUGCAAGGAUCGAGAAAAGUUAAAGGGGGCUCAAAUGGUGGAUCACAGUAAUAUUGAAGAUGCUGUUGUUGUUGUUCAUGAUGAUCAUCAGCUUGAACUGCUUUUGUAAUUUGAUGAGUUGGUUCCGAGUUAAGAUUCUGAACAUCGGUUUCGCAGUUGGAGUAAUAUGAACUUAAAGCCAUGGUAGUUGUUGAAAAGGAAAACAAGCAAAACCAGAAAUGCAAAUGGGAAAACAAUUACAAGGAAACUUAGAAAAGGGAUUUCAAGGUGGAAAAUUGUCAAAAGUUUCAGUGGUUCUUGACCUGUCGAGACUGGAGACACAAAGAGAUUUUUUAUUUUUAGAAGACAGAUACUUGAUAAAAUCACGAAAAAAUAAUGAAAAAAAAAAACUGAAUGUGAGAGAAAGAGAGUGGUAGGUUGAGAUAAAAUAGGAAAGAUGGGUUAAGGUAGUUAACUGUCUCCUAAAAACGCUAGGGUUCUUUUCCCCCUUCCUAUUAAAGAAACUGAAAAACAAAGAUCCUUUUCCACGCUUUGGUGGCGGCUGCCAUGCAUACUCGUUGGAUUCAUUUAUUGGAUUAAUGUACCCUUUAAUACUUUAAUUUACUUGUAUUUUUUUAAUCAAAUUUGAAUAUGAUUUUAAUAUUUAAUUUGGUACCUACCUAAACCAAACAGAAUCAUGUAAUUAAAGAAUGUUUGACAUAUGUGUUCUAAUAGAAAGACGUAAGUAUUAGGAUAAAAAAAAUUAAGCAUCAAAUUAAACGUUGAAGCCAAAAUUAAGUACUUAAUUGAAGCAAAAAAUAAUUCAACUAUCAAAUUUUUAAAAAAAAAUCCAAGGUAUUAAAUUAUAUUCAAGUAUCAAAUUUAAAAAAAAAAAAACUCAGGUACCAAAUAGUUCGUAAGUUUUAGAUUUAGUUCUUUUACUUUAAUUUUGUAAAUUUUAGUUCAUGUAUUUUUCGAAUUGGUCAAUUUUAGUUUGUGUCCUUUUCAAAAUUUGAAAUUUCAAUCCUGACCCAAAUAGUAAUAGUUAAAUUUAUUUGGAUAAAUUAUGUUAUCAAUUAUGUACUAAGCAUAAAGUUGUUCAAUAAUUCAUGUUUUUUAAUUGCAUCAUUUUUAAUUCAUAUAAUUUUUCGAAUUUUAGCCUUAACACAAACGACAAUAGUUAAAUUUAUUAACCAAAUUUCAUUUUAGUAAUAUGUAGAAAUAAAAAAAAAUACAUUUUACUACAUAUGAUAAUAUGUUUGUCGAAUCAUAUUUUGAAAAAAAAAACUUACCGAAUUUAAUAUUUAUUAGUUAGUAUUAAAAUAUUAAAUUUAAAAAAAUAUAAAAACUAAAAAUGAAGAGAUGAAAAUAAAGAGAAUAAACUCAUGAUAUAGGAAAGCACAAUUUAAUUUUGAUUUUAUUCAUCAAUCCAGUCCUUUUUUUAUAACCAUCGUAAAAACUUGGAGCCCUUUGUAGCUUCACCACGGCAGUGUUGUAGUUGGGUUUUUUUUUUCUUUUACUUGAAAAUUAGAUCUAUUUUGAUCUUUAAAUUUAAAGUUUGUCAAGAUUUGAUGAUGUGACCAGUAUUAUUGGAACAAGAUUAGAUUGGACGAAUAAAAAAUUGAUUGAUAUAAGGUUUGAAACUAAGGGGUUAAACUAAUUGACUGAAAAACUGCUUGAAAUUGAUAAAAAUCGAAAACUAGAAUAAAUAUAAACAGUUGAACAAGUUGAAUCGAUUUAAUAAUAUUUUUAGAUUUUUAUGAAUUUUUAUUAUUUAUUUAAUUGUUCUUAGUCUGGCGGUCAAACCGAUUGAACUAGUUGAAUUGGGAACAUGUUUAAUUUGUUCAACAACUUGUCUUUAUUAAUUGAAUAUGACAUUCUGAGAUUGUACUAUAUCAUCGUUGGAAAAUUAAUAAGAAUAGUUACCAAAGUGUACCUAGUUGUCAAGUUAAGAGGCCAAAAAUUAUAUUAUCCCUUGCUAAAAGUAGUGUAUGAAUUUAUAUUAUAAAAUUGUUUGAUAUAUAUUUCGUAAAAAUUAAGCAUGAAUAGAAUUAUUUUGUUUGAUAGUAGUAAAUCUUGGAUUUUUGAAAAUUCAUUUUUAUUAUUAUUUUAAUCUUAUUAAUAUGAUAUUAUUUAUUUUAUUUUGAAUCGUUUUGGACAAAGCUAAAAAGACAAAAUUUGAAUAUUUUAAUUUUUAAUAAAAUGAAGAUUUAAUUUAUUUCAAAAAUAAUAUUCUUAAUAUUGUUCACAUUAAGUUAUAAGUAGUUAUCAAACAUAAUUAAAAAAAUUAUUGGUGAAAUUUUUAAUAGUUUAUUAGACACACUCUAUGUUAAAAUAUGCUAUAGGUCCUUGUACUUUUCAUAAAUUUGAAAUUUAGUCUUUGUACUUUUAUUUCAAGAAAACUUUACUUUUUAGAUCUCAAAAUUUAGGUUUAACUGUUAACAAUGUCAUUUUUUUUGUUAAAUUUAUUGGUGUAAUAUUUUAAAAUAAAAAAAUAUUUACUUAAUACUCAUGUAAUUAAAAAAUAACAUUAUAAUAAACUUAAAUUUAACUAAAUAAUUUUAGCAGAAUUAACAAUUUAACCUUAAUUUUAAAAUAUAAAAAAUAUAAAAACUGAACCCCUAAUUUAUAAAAAUGUAAAAACUUGCUGCAUAUUUUAAACACAGAAUUAAAUUAUUUGAAAUUUCCCAUUUUAUAUUUUUAUUUUUUGGGGUUUACCAUGAAAAAACCAGUCAUUGAGAAAGAUGUUUUAGAGAAAUAGGGAUUAAACUGACAUGCAAUUUUUUUUUUGAAAAUAACUGACCUGCAAGUUUUAUUUAUGACGACAAUGACCAAAGACUUCAUAAAUUCAAAGCAUCCAAUAAAAGAAAAAAAAUAAAAAUGAUCCAUAUAUGCGAUAUUUAAUAUAUAGACAAUGAAUAUCACAUAUUAAAAAUAAUUAUUUGCUCAAAAAAAUAAUUAUUAUGUUUAUUUUCAAUAAUUAUGAAAACAGUCGACACCUAGUGGCAAAUUGAUUUAUGAUACUCUUACAUGUUACAUUUUUAUAUAAAUUUGAUAAAAAAAUAAUAAUGUACAAACAUGACAGCUUAGAUCUUAAAUCUUAAAUUUGAGAUCUUAAAUUUGUGAAUUAUUAUUAUAAUUAUAAUUAAUGAUUAUUAAAUUAUAUUUAAAUAAAAUUAUUAAUAUUUAUUUAUAAAUUUUUUACAAUUUUAUUUAAUUUAAUUUAAUGAUGAUAUGUUUUCUAACUGCAUUAAAUAUUUGUUGGUAUAAAUAAUUAUUAAUAAAUUAUAAGAAAAUCACCUAUUAAAAAAUAAUAAUAUGUAUUUUUAAUAAACUUAAAAUUAUCAUUAAUUUAUUACCAUAUGUUAUAACAUAAUUCACUCAAUAAUAUAUAAAUUACAAUAUAUUCAUUAUAAUUAUAAAUUACAAUAUAUUAAAUACAAACAUAUAUUUUUAUAAUUACUAUUAUUGUUGGGGGAAGGUUAUUAUUAUAUGGAGGAAAACAGGACCCACAAGGGUAAAUCAUAUCCAGGAAUCAAAGGAUCAAAAACAAGAAGAGGCCAAUACACGUUCCACGUGGUUGGGAGCAACAUAGAGAUGUAGAUUGACCUUAACUCCCCAUUGGUCCGAAAUCUAUCCUCCUUACUCCCUUAGAUUUCCUCUUAAGAUUUCAUCAUCCUACUUGUCUUUCUACAAAUCCUUUGAUUCCCACCAUUUUCCACCACAAGCGUGUCCAGAAGGUUCAGAGAUUUUAGAGAGAACAAACAACAAUGGCUGCUACAUCUGGGGCUGUACUAAAUGGAUUAGGCUCUUCAUUUCUUUGUGGGGGAAAGAGGAGCCAAGCCCUUUUGGGUGCCAGCAUUGGGGCCAAAGGCUCGCCCUCCCCUACUGCUGGAACUAGAAAGUUGAUCGUUGUGGCAGCCGCCGCACCUAAAAAGUCUUGGAUCCCUGCUGUUAGAGGUGGUGGCAACUUCAUUGACCCUGAAUGGCUCGAUGGAUCGUAUGUGUUCCUUUUCCUUUUAAAUCUCCCCUUUCCCUUGUUUUAGUCUUUGUGGUUUGCAGUUCUUAGUAUAAAGUUUGCUUUUUCAGGCUCCCUGGAGACUACGGAUUUGACCCACUAGGUCUUGGAAAAGACCCAGCAUUCCUCAAAUGGUACCGAGAAGCUGAGCUGAUCCAUGGACGUUGGGCCAUGGCUGCUGUCGUCGGCAUCUUCGUCGGCCAAGCUUGGAGUGGCAUUCCAUGGUUCGAGGCAGGAGCUGACCCAGGUGCGAUAGCUCCAUUCUCUUUCGGCUCACUCCUUGGUACUCAGCUCAUCCUUAUGGGUUGGGUUGAAAGCAAGCGGUGGGUUGAUUUCUUCAACCCCCAAUCACAAUCAGUGGAAUGGGCAACUCCAUGGUCUAAGACCGCUGAGAACUUCGCCAACGCCACAGGUGAGCAAGGGUACCCAGGAGGCAAGUUCUUUGACCCAUUGGGGCUAGCAGGAACCAUCCAGAAUGGGGUUUACGUCCCUGAUUUUGACAAGCUCGAGAGACUUAAGCUUGCUGAGAUUAAGCAUGCUAGAAUUGCGAUGUUAGCCAUGUUGAUUUUCUACUUUGAGGCUGGCCAAGGAAAGACACCCCUUGGUGCUCUUGGAUUGUAAAAGAAAACUUUAAGGAUCUGUUUGGAUGUAGAUAACUGAGUUAUGUCUUGGACGUAAGGAGAGUUGAGCAAGAAAAAAACUGGAAAUGGUGUUUGUUGAGCUGAUGAGUUCCCUCAAUAGUUAAAAAUUCUAAAGUAAAAUAUCUGAUGUUCAUUGAUUAAAUACAGAUUCUGUCUACUGAUGUAGUAUACUAUCAUUUCCAUGGAAUUUCUCAGACAUAAUGAAAGGUGAAUUUGCUAAAAAUUAAAGAGAACAAAUCAGGAACCAUCUGGUAAUAAAUAUUCAUGGCAAAAAAAGAAAGAUAUUUGUUAGUUUCUCAUGGAAAUUACUGAGUUCCAAUUGAUCUAGACAUAAAAAUCUUAAAAUUUUGGCAAAAAAUAAAAAAUAAAAAAAACUUAGAAAUAAAAAUGUGUGCCAACAUGCUAUCCGUCUAAUUAUAAAAUGGUUCUUCUGAUUGUUAGAUCCAAAAUUGAUAAUUGCAAGUAGAAACUUAGUAGUGACUAACUGCUUCAAGCUCCAAUGAAAAAUAAAGCACAAAAAUAAUCAACACUAGAUAUGUUUAAGCAAUUUUGUUUCUUACAUGUGUGUAGUAAUUUUAUAUAGAGAGGUAAUUCACUAUCUUAACAUUUUGUACAAUGAGUGAUUAAAGUACUAACACCAAUUAAAUUAGCAACCUCACUUUUGUUCUUAAGAUUUAAAUAUUCUAAAUUUUCCCUCUCAAAACUUAGGACAUCAACCAAUUAGCUUACUUGAUUACUUACCCAAUACACAUUAAGAAACAAAUUCUAAAUAACAAAAUAAGUACUGAAAUUCUCCCCAAGCGUUUCAAUGUAUAAGAUUUUAAGGCUUGUUAAGAUAAAUAUUAAUUACAAUCAAAUUCCCAUCAAAAUAAUAAGAUAAUCAGCAUAAAUAAUAUCUUCAAUGUGACUAGGAUAAGUCUUCAAAUUUUCAGGAUAUGUUAUCAAGUUACUCGGCUCAGCUUCCUCAAAAUAUAAAAGUUAAUUUGCUUGAUCUAAUCCAAAUCAAUCUUUAAGAUAUAUUGCUAUGAAUAAUUUGAAUACCAAAUAUGGGCUAAAAACAUCCAAAGUAACAACUAAAAUAAAAGCACAAGAAUUUUUGUUGCCAAAAUUUGUUAAAUUAAACAUGAUAAUUUUUUUGAACAAGUAAUGUCUAAACUAAUUUACACUGUUCAAGGCAUUGCUCAAAAACUACCUCAACAAUCUCCACGUAUUAAACACCAAAUCCGAAUGCCCUCUUGAGAAACUCCCCUUUAAUCAAAAUGCACCGGGCCUGAGAAUGAACACUAAAAUACCGCAGACUCCCCCAUCUUUUAUUUGUAUUUUAAAAUAUAAAAAUCUUGGUCAAAGGUCAAACUUCCUUUUUGUGUGACCUUAAUUUAAUUUAAUUUAAUUUAGAAAUUUUUUUUCAAAGGCUUAAAAUCAUCUCAUCACCACACAUUCUCUAUUAAACUAUAAAAAAAUGUGUCAAAUGACAAAAAUGCUCAUGAUGGGCAGAAUGAUUUUCACCCCUUGGGUCCAAAACUAGAAAAAUGACUUAAAAAUGUGAUCACAUGACCUUCCUAGGAUUUAAAUCCUAAAAAUUUCAAAUAAAUCAAAUUUCUCAUAUAGCAUUUCACAUAGAUAAUCAAAGGAAUCUGGAAUGUUAGAGGAAAAAAUAUUAAAAGGAAAGAUUUGAUUAAUUCCUAGCUUUGUAUUCAUUGGGAGUUAUUAGAGUAAUGUACAGGGUAGUGAUUUGUUGCACAUGAAAGUCGUAAUGUAGCACAACUUUGCUUCUGGGUAGUGAAAGAAAACAUUUAGAGAAAAAAAAAAGAGUAAACUUAAGAUUGGCAAAAAAAAAAAUUAAGAUUGGCAAAAAAAAAAAAAUUUCUUUUGCAACGAGGAGGGAAAAUAUGAACAUGUUUUCAACAUGCACUUUGCCCCAUUAUUUGUAGUUAUGAUUUUUCUUUUUGGACAAAUUUGCCUAAUUAGUUAAUUGGUUGGCCAAGAGAGACCACCAACUCCACUUGUAGCCAUUUUUUUUUUAAUUCAACAAGGCUUAAUAUAAAUAUAGAUUACUAUAAAUAUCAAUCCAAUUUGUAAAAAUACAUUAUCCUAUGAAAUUAGGAGGAUUCGCUUUAAAAUUUUAAAAGAUUUAUAAUUUCCUAAUAAAUAAAAAAUAAUUAAUAACUCUUAUAAAGUAUUUUUUGAAAAAUAAUUUUUUAUAUAAAACUUUUAAGUUUUUUUUCACUAUUUAAAAUAUAAAAUAUUUUUUACAUUAUAAAAAUUAAAAUUAAUUAUAAAUUAAAUAAACAAUAGAAUUCCAUUCGGUUUGAUUAUUUUUAAAUUUAAAUUAGUUUUUAAUUUCUCAAUUAUUUUUUACUCAGCCUAAAAAUAUUAAAUAAAUAUGUACGAUAAUUAAAUUUUUAGAAAUUCAUAUCACAUUUUUUAUUUUUAAAUUUUGAACUUAAAUUCUUUUUCUAAGAGAAUAAGUAUUUUUUUAUAGAAUUUUUUUUGCUUUAUCAAGAAAUUAUUAAUGAUUAAGUACUUAUAGAAUUAAUUUCUUUACGUUGGAGUAUAAAUAUGGAGAAUAUAGCAGCCACGCAGGGAGCCAUGUCGCGAAUUUUCUCGACAUUACAUGCGUUGCAUGUCGUAUGGAUACCCAUCGAAUUAAUUAACAUAGACAAAAUCCAUAUCUUUUCAAAACUAAAAGGUCAGCAAUUCCAGCUAUAAACAAAUUAGGCUGCUUUUAAGCAAUCUCACUUAGGGCAGUUCUUUAUUCCAUUUGAGAUGGAUUUAUACAAGUAUUUUUUCUCUAAAAGCAGUAAAGAACAGCUAACAGUGGUAAACUUUUUUUUGACUUAAAUUAAGUACUUUUAGCUAGUUCUAGGAAAAAUUAGCUUUUUUCAGCCAAAAAGUAGUUUUGACUAUUAAUUUACCUUUUUAACCUUACGAUUUUUACAUGUUACAAGAUAUUUUUUUCACCUUUUCUCUUUUGUCUUCUUUUUUUUUUGAACUUUAUUUUUCCUCUGGUUUGUUCCUCUUCUCAGUACCAGUAAGUUUUAUCUUUUUUGCUUCCAUUCUUCUGUCUUUGAUUUUAUGAAAUAAUUAUGAAAUUUAAUAAAUAAUUAAUAUUAAUUACUUAGAAAUAUUUAAAAUUAAUAUUAUAGAUUAAAAUAUUAACAAUAAGUUAUAAUAAAUUAUUUUUUAUAUUUUUGCUAAAAUAUCAUAAUAUUAAUUAAUUUAAAUAUUAUUUAAAUACAUAUUUGUUACUUUAUAGUAUCAUGUCUAAAAUAAACAUUUUACUUUUCAAAAACACUUUUUGACAGCAAUACCAAACAAUUAAAUUUUUCAAAAAUACUUCUUAAAAGCACUUUUCAAAAAUAUUUUUCCACGGCACUUCUCAAAAGCAUUCGCAGCCCUUAAUAAAUUGAUAUAGACACACACAUAUCUGAUUGUAUAAAUCAAGUGCUUCCCUUCGAUCAGUCACUUGCGUAUCUAUCCAUAAACACGUAUCUGAUUGUAUUAUUUUGAAUGAAGAGCUUUUACUUUUUAUCAGCUUACGCUGAUAAAAACAUCAAAUUAUGUUUGGUUUAAUUAACUUUAGAACAAACUUUGCGGAUUUCACCCACAGUGCCUGUCUUCACUUCAAUGUUACUCAUCUUCACCAUGGACCUUCCAAAUUCAAUGUUAAAGGUCAAUCCAAGUAAGCCUCUAAUGCCCAAGAAUCGUUGGACAAAGGUCUUGGUAGAAGCAUCAGUCCAUAACCUUUGAUCAGAUUCCAGUAUUCCCUUCCCAUCUCUCAAGUUGGCAAAGAAAGAGUUAUCAAAUCUGUUAACGCUGCCUGUGUCCAAUCCAAUCCUCCUUGACCCAUCACCGUUCUGCGGACACAGCGCUUGAAGCUGGGAAACGAAUGCGGCGGUGAUAGAAGGGUCGGCUCCGUUUCCGGUCGUGGUGAAGUUGUAAAGCCUGUAUCUGAAGAAUUGGCAGGCUGUAGUACCGAUCGUGUGGCCUCCUGGAGUACAUAAAAUUAAUGCAUUGAAUUUCAUCAGUUACAGUGUGAAAUUUUUAAUUAAGGGUUAAAUUCGAAUGAAAUAGAAACCUAAAUGCUUACCAACAAGGGUGACAAGAUCUUGAGUAUUGAGACCCUUUGCUGCAAAUUUUUGCUUCUGCACAUCGACUGAGUCACGGAAGCCUGGCAAAUUGGCCGCAUCAGAAGCCUGUGAAACCGUUCCAUCUCGGCGGCCUGUCGGCACUGCCCAGCUGGCUCCACUGCUCUGCAUCAUACAUUAUUAACCAAUAAUUAAACUACGUAUAAUCCUUAUUAAUUCUUUCAUCCGAAACGAAGAUCAAAGGAACAUAUAGUUACCAGAACUACAGAAUCACGAGCAGCGAGGGCUAGGAUAUCAGCACACGAAACAACUCCAGGGCAUGCAGCUUCAAGCUGAGUCUUGGCAUCAUCAAUGACUUCGUAACCUCUCAACAAGAGGUUCGGUGGGGCGGUUUUCUCAGUGCCAGGUCCAUCAAUAAGGAUGGAAGCAUCGCAUCCAUGGACAAAGCAGUCGUGGAAAUGCAUACGGAGCAAACCAGGAGCAAUAGUGGGAUCAGACCCGAAAUGGGAUUGAACCGUCGACCUCACGAUGGACUCAACUCGAGGACAUGAAGUUGAGUAGAACCCAACCCUGGUGCCCUGGCUUUCCACCAAGCUGACAGCUAUGGCAAGCAAUAGGGUAACUAAAAGGACAUUUUGGCUGAAACAACUGACAUCCAUUGUUGUAAGAGACGAUAUACUUGUCUAAGAGCUUAUAAAAAACCUUGAUUAAGAUAAUGUCUGAGAGAUGAGGCUUUUGAUUCAGGAUUGACAAUUGAGUAGUACUUAUAUAGGCAAAAGAAAGUCAGCUAUACUUUUACAGCUACUGUGUAUACGAGAGAGAGAUUCAAAAUGGAUCAGCUAAGACUUUGGGUUUUGGGGUACAUGCCAAAUGUAAAGCCAAAAGAAGCUUACUUUCUCUCGCAUUAUCAACUUGCAUGCAUGUGAGUCCCAUAUCACUAUUUUUCCUACCUAGUGACAAAGUCGUCGAUCACGAAUGGGAUUUGAGUAGUGUUUAUCUAAUUUAUUUCCCUUUGACUUGGACUGCUUCGCAGAUAGGCAAGGAAUCAUUUAAAUGGUUAAUUAGUAAACACAAUACUUUGCAAGAGUAAGUGACCAAAGUUAUAUUAAUUAAAUGGUUAAAUGAUAACAUUUAAAAACUUUAAAGUGGAUUCCACUGUAUGGUGCUAAUUAGGUGUUGGUUUAUGAAUAGUUUCUUCGUCCAAGAAAGGAAUAGUUCCAUGAAUGGAUCAAAAUGAACUACUCGAAAGAGAGAUGAAAUGACAAACUACUCUCUUGCACCUUUUAUCAAUUAGCGUUCCAUCUUUUUAUCCUUCUUCUUUUUAUGAUUUUAGUUGAUUAAGUUAAAAUUAAUGUUAAAGUUCUACCCAAAUUUUUAUUAAAAUAAAAUAUAUGUAGUAAGAUGGGGAUUCAUGAGGGCGAAGGUCAAGGGCUGGAGAACUUGUCCAUUAAGAAUUCGGGUUAAGAUAGUACGGUACAGGCUGCACAAGAAGAAUCUGUAUAGAAGUUUACUUCAUCUAUUUGAUAUUGAUUUGAAUAAGGUGUUUUAACAUUAUUGUAUUAUUUCGAUUAGAUGUUGAUUAGAAUAAUAUUUUCUAAACCUAUAAAUAGAUGCACUCUAUACUCCUUAUAAUUAUUUGAAUUCGACAUAGUGAAAUUUUUUUCUCUACUUGUAAUUUUUUUCUAAAAAGGUUUCUACUUAAAAUCUAUAUGUUCUAUUUUUCUUUUCUUUUUUAUGAUAUAUUGUCAUUAUUGAUAUUUUAUUUUGUCAAAUAUGCCAUUAAAACAUUUCAAAUGUAAUUCACUUAUUGUAUACAAUUGUUUUGUAAGAUAUAGCGUUCAACAAUGUAUUUAAAAUAGUCAGCUUUUUUGUAAAUAAAUAAACUAUAUAUAAUUUUAGUUGUCUUCGGCUUUUAGCUAAUUAUAUGUUAAAGUGGGAUUAAGUAGAGUUGGUGAGACAUGAUAAAACCCAAGCGGCAAAACGCGUGACAGAAUGAUGAUGACGAAGUUUAAUUUGUCUUGGCCUUCUGAUUUACUUACUAAUAGGGUGGCAUUGACGUUGACGUUCCUCUUUUCGGCUGCCUCAAAGCUAUCUUUUUCCCAUUCUCCUUUCCUUUUUUUUUUUUUAAUAUCUUGAAAUGGUUUCUCUCGCUCGAACGCGUUUCAUGCACUACAUGGAAUCAACGUGUUCAUACUAUUAAGUGUUUUUUUUCUUUUUUAAUUAUUAUCAAAGAAACUAUGAUGGUGGAUUUCAACCUAAAAUAUAUUUACGUGAAUCAAAUAUUAAUUUAAUUAAAAAAUUAAAAUCUUUUGAGAUAAAUAAAUAUUAUUAUGAGGUAAUUUUCAUUCUUUAUACAAAAUUUAUAUCAAAAUAUUUUAAAAUUUAAUAUCUGGAGUUUCUUUUUGUAUAUCAUAUGGAUGAUUCAAUCUGCAAGGACCAUGAUUGAGAAUUGUUUAAUCGUCUUUCUUCGAGUGAGAGGUAAAAUAUAAUUAACUUGAACUCGGGACACCUAUUUGAAAUCUCAUAUUUGCUUUUUGUGAAAAAAUACCAAUCGAAGUGGAGAGUUUCUUCAAACAACAAGGAACUGGGGCAACUAUUCAAUCAAAUGAUAUUGAGCAUGUUUCCCAUCUCUUCUCGAGAGGCAAGUGGGCUAUUUCGUUACAAAAUUGUGCUCAAUUUCAUAUGUGGCAAUUCCGCCAAGAUCUCUUCGUUAGUUGGGGGAAGAAUCCACACGAAUCGGAUAUUUUGUGGAACACAUUGAGAGAGAAUUGGAUUUGGUUAGACAAUAUAUGGUUGGUAAACAGGGAUCGAUUUUUUAGCAAGUACGGAAUGUAUCGUCAAAUAUUCAAUAUGAUUCCACAAGAUUUAGUUUCAUUCAAGUAACGAAUUCUCACCAAUCUAAUCUGUUUCGUUAUUCUAAGUGGUUAUUCUAUUUUGGGGAAUGAAGAACUUCUUAUUCUUAACUCUUGGGUUCAAGAAUUCCUAUAUAAUUUAAGCAACACAAUAAAAGCUUUUUCUAUUCUUUUAUUAAUAGAUUUAUGUAUAGGAUUUCAUUCGCCCCCAGUUGGGAACUAAUGAUUGGCUCUAUCUAUAAAGAUUUUGGAUGUGCUUAUAAUGAUCUAAUUAUAUCUAGUCUUGUUCCUACCUUUACAGUCAUUCUAGAUACAAAUUUUAAAUAAUAGAUCUUUCGUUAUUUAAAUCGUGUAUAUCUGUCACUUGUAGUUAUUUAUCAUUCAAUGAAAGAAUGAAAAAGGAUUCACGGAUUCAAUUAUCAUCUUUCUUACUUUCUAGAUAAGCAAAGCAUGUAAAGUCGUACUUACUUUACUCUUUCUACCCAUCAGGAGAAUACAAUUUCUCCUCUAUUUCAGCCAUUUUUUUCAAUUUUUAGUAAAAGAAAAUAGCGGAAUCGUGGCUAAGGAACUAUACUUGUGACCUACCUAAUUUUAUUAUAGAAAUUUUUGGGAUCAAUGAUUGGACCAUGCAAACUAGAAAUACAAAGAAUUAAUAUUUAGAUUUAUAGAAAUACUUAAACUUAUAAAUAGAGGCAUGUUCACCUGUUAGAUAGAGGCAAAGUAGAUUUAAUUAUGAGUCGGGCCAUUCACUUAUGCCCAAAGGUCCGUCUGGAAAGUGGGAGGGUUUGGAAAAAAAUAUAGGUUUGGACAAAAAAUAAGGCCCAUUUUCUAAAUUGGUUGGGCUUCGGGUAAGAUUUUUUUUUUGUCCAACCCCACCCGAAUCUGCCUAAAGUUUUUUUCCUGCUGUUGUUUGCUAUUGUUUUGUUGCUGUUUUACUAUUAUGUUACUACUAUUUUGUUAUUAUUUGGAUAUUGUAUAACUCUUAUUUUAUUAUUAAUUUUUCUACUAUUUUAGAGGCAUCUGCUUUGCUAAGUUCCAACUGUUAUUUAAGUAUAAAGACUUUUUUAAUGUAUUUUCAAUUUUUGGGGAAACAUUUAUUUUAAUGUUUUUAGUAUACUUGAUAUAUUAUAUUUAUUAAAUUUGUUUUUAUAUAAAAAAUAAUAUAAAAAAAUUUAAUACGACCGGGUCGGGUUUAACAUUUUUAUCUGGGUCGAGCUUGAACAAAAAUUUAGGCCCAUUUUUUUUGGCUCAAGUCCAAAAACAAGCCUAAAUUUCUGCAUCAGCUUGGCACUGUCUGGUCCAUGAUCAAGUCUAAGUCGAAGCCAAAAAAAUUUUUUUGGAAGGGCCGAAAUUAAAUUUUAUAUUCUUAUGAUAGUAAAAAAGCAAUUUUACCAUUUUAAUAGCCUAUAUCUUUAUAAUUUGUAAAGGAUUAAAUCAAAUUUUUAUCAUUUUGCAAGGCUAAACUGUAAUUUUACCAUUAUUAAUUUAAAAUUUUAUAAAUUAUAAAUAGACCUAAACACACAAAAAUUCAUUUUAGGGGGGCCCUACCAACCCCUAGCACUGCCACUGGUUAUAGAUAUUGGGAGCGGGUUAAACUAUUUGAUAAGUCUUACCAUAAUAGACUUGUUUAAAGGUUGUGUUAUUCGUCUAAACUCAAAGAGUUUAGUUCAAUAUUUGAAAAAGUUGGACACAAAUAUUAGUCCCACAAAUGAGCUUCGACAAGAAAACUAGGCAUGUUGCAAAUAUAGAUCGGGUUUGGACUCCAACAUCCAUAGCCCGAGCUUUUCUCAAACCGUUUUUAAUAUUGUCAUAUGUUGUUUUAUUUUUAUAUAUUAUGUAAUAUAUAUCACAUAAAAUUAAAUCUAUAAUAUCAUAAAAUACUAUAAUGUAAGCAUAAAAAAUAUGUUAAGUUAUUGAUUACUAAAAUAAAAGAAAAACAUAUACAAAUAUUACAUAUUAAAUUAAAAAUAAUAUAAAUUAUUUUUAUAUGUCAGACCUAAAACAAACUUAGAUUAAUUAUUUAUUAAUAUGGAUGACUUUAAUCAAAAUCUAAGAUCCAUAUUUUAAGUCAAAUUAAGCUUGAACAAUCAUAUUAAUUAAAUACAUAUAACUUAUAAUAGGUUGAAAUUGUUAAAUUAAUUUUAUUUUUAAAAAUUAUAUUUUUUUAAAAAAAUAAAAUAUUCAAAUUAUCAUAUUUUACUUUUAUCAAAUAAUAUAAUUAUAUUUUUAAUUAAUCUUUACUAUUUUAUAAAAAAAUUGAAAAAAAAAGUUUUUUUAUAUGAAAAAAAAGUGUACAAAAGAAAUAACAUGUAUACUUUUGUAUAUAGUGUUUUUCUUUUGACCUGAAAAUGUGAGUGACUUAAAUAGUAUAUCGUUUCUUGAGAAAAAGUAUUUCAUUGAAAAAAUGAUUUUUUUUACAAGUUAGGCUAAUGUAAUCUAUAUUAACAAUGCUAUCAAGAAAUCCUAACUCGAGUUGGUGACAACUUUAAUUAAUUUAUUCUUAACCACAGACAUAGAAUCUUAUAUAAAAUUUAAUAAUGGAUCGAUGAUAAUUCAUACAAUGCAUCGAGAGUUGUGUAAGGUAAUUUUGGAGGUUUAAGAAGAGUAUAGAAAUUUUCUUUUUUUUGGGUCUAAAUAGCAUACAGAAUUUAUAUGCUCUGAUAUGUGUAAACGGGCCAAUUUGCCCGGCCGUUAUAAACAAAAAAAUAAAUAUAAAAUCCAAACCGUAUAACAGUCCAAAUUCCAAAAUUAUUACAAUGACCCAUAGCCCAUUUACAAAUAAACCCAGACCCAAAGUUACAAGGCCCAAAUGGCCCAAAAGACUUUAGAAACAAAACCCUAGGGUUUCUCUCCCUUGCACUGUAGCCUUCAGCCGCCGUACAGCCCCAACGCCGCUCGUGCCUCCACGUCAAUAGGCCGUACGCCACCCUCACGCCUAGUGCCAGCACAUGCUCCGUACCUGCAAAAGAAAACAAGAAAACAGCAGCGGAGUAGCAGCCAAUAGGAGAACAAAAAUUGUUGUUUUUUCUUUUGAUUAUUCGGCUAUAAAGCCUUUUAUUUUUCGAUUGUAAUGGCCCUUUUUUACGCACACGGAGUGAAUAGAGAAAAAAGCAGAAAUCACAAAUCAAAAGGUGAUUUUCAAGUUUUAUCCUUUUGUCUUUCUUCUCAUUUUCUUGUUAUUUUAGCAUAAAAGAAAGAAACAUUUGAAACGACACCAAUGAAGUCCCGAAUAUCUCAGAAAUAUUGAGAUACGGACGACGGUCGGAUGGUAUUAAGUUUUUUUUUACAUUCGGUUUCAUCCUUCUUAAAUGAACAGUAUUAGAUUUAGGUUUUUUUUUUAAAGAAAAGAGAAAGAAAAAAAUAAAAUAGCAUACCUGGUUUCCUCGCAUGGUACCGUCGUCGGUGGAAUCUGGUCGCUGCUAGUGCAUUGUAGGCCACCGAAUGAAAUGGUGGAUCGGCGGUCGCUGGAAUGAGCCUUAACAAAUCAAUUUAGGGGCUGUAAAUUAGGGUUAAAAUGUUGGCUGCUUUUGGAAAAAGGAAAUAUAAAAGGGUUUUAAAUAACCUAUUAAUGAAAACGGCGCCGUUUGUAACAAUGAGGGUCCGCGCGUCAACCCGGAUAGCAGGUCGGAUCCGCGCCUUUUCAUUCGAAAUGGGGAAUUUGCGCGUUGAGUCCUUCCAUCUGCGCGAGCCUUCAAAUUGCGCCUUAUUCGUUUUGCCUUGUUUUUUUUUAAAUUAGCUCGUUAAUUUGUGCGCGUUUGCAUACUAGUCCGUGGUACAGCGCAACUUUUUGGGGCCUGGAUUAUUUCUAGUUUGAGUCCCUAUACAUUUGCGCGCAUUACCUAUUGGUCCCUUUUAUUAUUAUUGUUUUAUUUUCAGAUUAUCCCUUUUGUUUUAGUUUAAUUCUAAUUAAGUUUUUUUAUUUUAUUCCCCUUUUUAUUCUUAAUUACUUAUUCAUACAAUCAUUUUGAAGAUUUUUUUAUUAGAUUAUUUUAAUAUUUUGUACAAUAUUUUUAUUUCUAUAUAUAUAUAUUUGUACAUGCAUGACUUUAUUUUAUAAAAUCAUCAUUUUAAAUUUCUUUUUGCAUUAAGCUAUUCUAAUACUCUUAUAUAACCUCUUGUUCAAAUAUUAAUAUAUAUAUUAAUACACCUAUUAUUUUAAUAGAUUUUUUUAUUUUAAAAUACUUCUUGCUUUAUGAUUCGCUAAGUAUUUUUCUUUAUGUAUAUAUGAAACUAUUUUAGGAACUUCAUCUUUGUAAUUAUAAAGUUAUUAUUUUGAAAUGUUUCUUUAUAUUAUAUUAUUUUUAUGUUUUAUAUAGUAUCUCAUUUAAAUAUUUUUAUAUAAUGGUAUGUAUAUAAUUUAUAGGUUAACCUUUUAUAUAUAUAUAUUAUUAAUCUCAUGCUAUUUUUACAAGUAAUUUAUUUAUAUAUGCAUGUUUUGUAAAUCUAUUAUGUGUAUUAUAUCUUAUCAUGUAUUUUUAUUAUUCUUUCAUAUUAUAUAUUAUUUAAGUUAUCAUGUACCUUGUCAAUUUUUAAAUGAAUUUCUGUUUAAAAUAUUUUGCAUAUGAUUUGAUUCAAACUUUAUUUCUAUAAUAUCUAUUUCAAUAAAUAUAUAUCCCUAGUUUUUAUGCAAAUUUGUCAACUUAUAUAUUACGUGUUCAUUUAUUUGUCAUUAUUUUAAAAUCGUUUUAUAGCACAUUAGCUUCUAAUUGCCAUUUUGUUUUGUUUUUUUUUUUUUACAUCUUGCAUUGAUUGUUUUAUAUCAUGCUAUGUAUAUUAUUGUGGCAUAUUAUUGUGUGCAUUGUUUUGUUGUGUUGUAUUGUUAUAUUAUUAUUUUCAUCAUUGUAUUAUUAUAUCAAUUAUUUCCCAUGCAUGAUCGUAAUCGGGUUAUAUUUUUUAGGUUAGUUAUGCUUAAUUGUUUACUUCGUUAGUUGAAUAAAUAAGACACAUUAUCCUCAUUCAUCAAGUAUUGUAUUUUAUGUGUGUAUAUUAUCCCAUAUCAUUGUUUUUCACUUGGUUUACGAAAUGUAGCUUUAUAAGAUCCAAAUCUUUAAGAUUAAUUUCGUUUUAUUUCAAGUCGCAUUAACACGUUUUGAGCUAUUUUUAUAAUUAUUCAUUUAAAAAUUCUUUAAAACGAAGGCAAUGCUCGAUGUUUGGCAAUUCAAAAAUCAUGCCCUAUCGUGUUGGGUUGCGAUUUCCCGUUUGUUCAAAACAAUCGAAUAUUCCUUUGGAAUUUCACUCAUGUCUUUAAAAAUUCUUCAAAACGAAGGUAAUGUUCGAUGUUUGGCAAUUCGAGGAAUAGUGCCCUAUCGUGCUGGGUUGCAAUUUCCCGUCUAUUCAAAAUAAUCGAAUAUCCCUUUAGAAUUUCACUCACGUUUUCUAAAUUCUAAAACAAGGCAAUGUUCAAUGUCUAGAAAUUCGAGGAAUCGUGCCUUCCUGUGCUGGGUUUCGGUUUUUUUGUUGGACUAAAUGAUUAGGCAUCCUUUUAUGAUUUUCAACAUAUAAACUUUUGGAAGUCGAAAUUUAUCGAGUUUUCGAGGGUAUAAAGGAUCGUGUCCUAUCGUGCUAGACGUGAUGCUGUAUUCCUCUGAAACAAGAGAAUUUUGACGACCAACUUGGGUUAUUCAAAUGUUUAUAAAAGGAAUCACAUUUCGAAAAACAUUUUUUUAAAUCUCAGACAUAAGGACAGUAUUUAAUCAAUUUGGUACCAAUUUUGGGCGUAAUGAGGGUGCUAAUCCUUCCUCAUACGUAACCGGCUCCCGAACCUGUUUUCUCAAAUUUACGUAGGCCAAAAUCGUUGUUUUAGUAAGCCAAAAUGUUUUAUUAAAAUGACCAAACUUUUUUGUGAUCCAAUCACACCUAAACAAAAAAGAUUGGUGGCGACUCCGCACUUUGUUUUAAAAAGUCGAUCCCCAUUUCGCUUUUAAAUUUAAAAAUGGUUUCGACAAUAUGGAUAGCUUAAAAUAGGUGUAUUGCUAAGAAGAAUAGGUACUUUAUUCAUGGUGUCUUCCAAAAAUAUAUUUAGAUGUGAUAGGGAGAUUCGAUGUACACACAUGCUAAGCUUAUAGGGAAGAUGUGUUGAUAAAGAGUGUAAUUUAGAUUAAGGGUGAGUAUUCGAUUAAGUCGAGUAGAAUUGAGUUAAAAAAUUUCGAGUUAGUCGAGUUGACGAAUUCUAAUUUAGUAAUUGAACUCAAUUUGAAUUUUUUUUAAUCGAGCUGAAUCGAGUAAAAAAAUUUCAAGUUGAGUCAAGUUAACGAAUCUUAUUAUUUAUGUUAAAUGUUGCAUUUACAUGGAUCGACUAUUUAACUAGUAGACGAAGUACAAGCUUUUAGAUUAAUUUUGAGUAAAGGAAAAAGGGAAAGUGGGGCGAUUCGGGAAGGUAAGUAAGACUAUCGGGUAAACUUUUAUUAAAACAAUGUAGUUUUGCCUUUUAACUUGAUAGUUUUGACUUUUUACUUUAAAUCAGGUAAACAUUUAUUAAAACGAUGUAAUUUUGCUUUUUCUAAUUUGGAUUUUCGAAUAACUCAAAUUAAGUGUGAGUGUUUUGGUCGAAUCGAGUGAAAUUGUUCGAGUUAAAUUAGAAAAAUUAAUAAUCAUGUCAACUUAAAAUCUUGUUACAAUAUAACUAUUUCUAUGUUAGAGCACAUAAAUUUGAAAACAUAUAUAUUUGAAAACUUUUUUAAAGCAUAAUAAUAAUAAGAUGUUUUAGUAUGAUAAACUUAAAAUCAUUAAUCACUUUAGAUUCCAAAAUUAUUAUUUUAUAAAAUUUUAAAAUUUCAACUUUUUUUAUAUACUUUUAGAUUUUAAAAAAAUAUAAUUUUUUAAAAAUACAAAUUUUUGAAUUUUUAUAAAUAUUGUUAAUUUUAAAAAUUAUUUUGAAGAUUUAAAAAAUAUUUUAUUUUUUUGUAAUUUUUGUUAAGAGAGAGACCAAUUUGCUCAUUUUCAAAAUUGAUAGGGACCAAAAGGGUAUUUAUACUAAUCUAUUAUUCAAAUUGUAAAAAUUCAACUCGACUCGAACUCGAAAUCUGAAAUUUCUUAUUCAAGUUGACUCGAAUAAUUUGAAUAACUCGAAUAAUUCAAUUUGAUUAACUCGAAUUUUAAUUUUUUAAUAUUUUCGAAUUGAAUCGAAUUUCACUCACCCCUUAACUUAGACAAGGUGAUCAUGCAAUGUAUGGUGAAGUGAUUCAUUUGUACAAGGUAACCUCUUGACUAUAAGUAGGGCGAGCUUAUCCUCUUCUAUCAUAACAUAGCAAAAUUACAAUUGUUGAAACUAUAGCUAAAAACUAAAACCGUUUUAAUUUUUUACACAUUAUAAAAAAUUACUCAUAACCUUUCUUCAACAUUUUAAAAUAUACAAUACCAUAAUUUAUUUUUUAACAUCGAAGACAGCAUAUAAAAUUUGGUGAAUUUUUUUUGCCCAUUCAUAUUAAUUUUUUAUAUAAAAAUAAUAAUACAUCAAAAACAUUAAAAAAAUAAAACAAGAGUUAUACAAUAUUUAAACAAUAAUAACAAAAUAAUAGUAACAUAAUAGUGAAAUAACAACAAAAUAAUGAAAAAAUAAUAAAACACUGACAAAACAUGAGUAAAAACAAUAACUAAACAAUAUAUAUUUUUUCUUUUUUUUGCAAAUUCAAAUCAAGCCAAAUCUAAACUAAAAAACUUUCCUUGAGGUCUGUUAAUUUUUUAAAUGAACUUUAAUAUUUUUGCUUAAAACCAUUCUUUGAAUUUAUAUUUAUAUUUUUCCUAAAACCAUUCUUUGAAUUUAUAUAUUUCUAAGAAUAAGGUGGUAUUUACUACUGUUGAUGCUACACGGAAAUGAAGCUAAGGAGUAGAAAAGUAAAGCAGGUUUUUUCAUGUCUUUCAACAAAGGGAUUUGCAUGGAAUCCAAUGCACGCGUUAACGAAAUUUCACAUUUUGGGUUAUUUUAUGUUCUAAAUUCGGAAAACACUGUAUAUAUUAAACAGAGAAUCACGAACAGUUUUAAUCAUUAUUUACUACAAAAAUUAAUUAAUUACUUUAUUUAUCCCAUUAAAACAAACACUUGCGCAAUUUAAUAAUAUUACAAUCAUUCCUUUUCCAUAGAUUACACAGACUUUUAGAUAUAGUGGCCUUUUAGGGUCCUCAUUAUUUUUAUUUUUUAUUGAAUCAUACAAUAAAUAGAUGACAUCUACAUGAAUAUAUAUAAUUUAUAUUGGAUGUUAUUUGAUAUAGUGAUAAUGUAUAAAUUUUUUAUAUUAUUCAUAAAGUCAUUUAGAUUUAAUUUUAAAUCUUAAAUUAAUAGAGUUAUAGUUUGCUACCCAAUUUAAUGUGACAAAUUUGGCGUAGAUGAGUUGUUAAUUAUUUGAUAAGAUUUCUUGAAAAUAUAUAAAAAUUAGUUGGUAAGAUAAUGUCUUGUCUUAUUCGAUGGAUUUAAGAAUUAUAUAAAAUUAACGAGUCUUAAAUCUUAAUCAAGUGAAAAUCUUAAUACAUUGCAAGCCUGCAGUUAGCUGUCACCUUCAAAUUAGCCAGUUGGCAAGUUCAAUUGAGUCGUACAUAUCUAAUUACAUAUACAUUUUUUUUAACAUACAUAAAAUAAAAAUAAUAAUUUUAUAUCUGUGUUAUUAAAUAGAUGAUGUUUGAAAAAAUUACUAGGUCUUCACGUGAAGCUGAAAGACAGCUCGCCAUUGCAAUUUGCUUUUCGUUUCGACUAUGCUUAAGCAGAAGCAGGCAAGCAGCUACAUGCUAAUUGUCUACCAACUCAUCAUUCCUCCAUUAUUGUUAUUUUGAAUUAGCCCAUUUUUCCCUUUUCUUAUAGCCGGCUUUCUUUACUUUUUCUCUAUGUUGACUAAAUUUUUGGCUUAUAAAUAAACCCCCACCUCUGCUCUGCUCUCCCAUCCCACAAACUCACAAUCAAUUACAUCCACUGGACACACACACCAUAUCUUUCUCUUAGCUCUUUAUCCUUAAUUAUAAUCCCAGUCUACUAACUACGAUAAUGAAGGGUGCUUACACCAACCCACGUUUCUUCCUUGCAAUGACUUUCAUGCUUGCCAUGGCUGCUGCAUUGGUGCAAGCUCAGGGAACUCGAGUUGGGUUCUAUGCAAGAACAUGCCCUCGAGCUGAAUCCAUUGUUAGGUCAACAGUUCAGUCCCAUUUCCGUUCUAAUCCUAACAUUGCACCUGGCUUGCUGAGGAUGCACUUCCAUGACUGCUUUGUUCAGGGAUGUGACGCCUCCAUCCUCAUUGAUGGCCCUAAUACGGAGAAAACUGCCCCUCCAAACAGAUUGUUGAGAGGGUAUGAAGUUAUUGACGAUGCCAAAACUCAGCUCGAAGCUUCAUGUCCUGGUGUCGUCUCAUGCGCUGAUAUUCUAACCCUUGCAGCUCGUGACUCCGUCUUUCUGGUAAACAUUACUACGUUUUCUUAAUCAUAUACUACUAAAAGCUCUGUCAAUGAAUGGCUGAUUAUGUAUUUCUUGCAUAUAUGAAAUGCAGACGAGAGGAAUAAACUGGGCGGUUCCUACUGGACGCAGAGAUGGGAGGGUUUCAUUGGCAUCGGAUACCACCAUUUUGCCUGGAUUUAGAGAGUCCAUUGAUUCUCAAAAGCAAAAGUUCGCCGCCUUUGGUCUCAACACUCAAGACCUUGUUGCUCUCGUUGGUAAGUAAUUUUGCUUCAAUAAUGUUCCAAAGCUUUUAUCUGAUUAAAAUCGAGUCUGGUUGACUUAACAUUUGUUCCUUGUUGUUGCAGGAGGACACACCAUAGGGACUUCAGCUUGCCAGCUUUUUAGCUACAGAUUAUACAACUUCACCAACGGUGGUCCAGACCCCACAAUCAACUCAGCAUUCGUGCCUCAACUGCAAGCACUUUGCCCACAAAACGGUGACGGCUCAAGGCGCAUUGAUUUGGACACUGGUAGUGGAAACAGGUUCGACACCUCCUUCUUCGCCAACUUGAGGAAUGGUCGGGGAAUACUAGAGUCCGAUCAAAAAUUGUGGACUGAUCCCUCCACCAGGACUUUUGUGCAGCGCUUCUUGGGUGAGAGAGGCUCGCGGCCUUUGAACUUUAACGUGGAAUUUGCAAGGUCCAUGGUGAAGAUGAGCAACAUUGGUGUGAAGACGGGCACUAACGGCGAAAUUCGAAGAAUUUGCUCUGCCAUUAACUAAUUUAACUGCAGUUUUAUGCAGUUAAUCGUGGGGGUGAUGGUUAUUUUCUCAAUUAGCGUAAGCUGAUGAAAAAAUCUAAAAAAUAUUUUAAGCAAUUUAAAAAAAAAAUAGUACACAUGAUUUUUUCCCUAUGUAUUUAUGCAAUGUUAGUAUUCUUGUUAAUUGUAUCAUUAUAUUUUUCAAUGGAUUUAAUAUUUGAAUUUUUUGUAAUAUCUUACUUACACUUUAAGAUUUUAGCUUUUAGUUAUAAUAGUUGCUCCAUUAGUUAUCCAUUUGUGGUUUGACUUAUUUCACAAUAAUUGCUUAAUAAUCAUUUCGCCCUUCAUUAUUGAUAGAGUCGUGAUAACAUAUUUCUACAUACGUUGAUUAUUACGAGGAAAUAACAACAAGGCUUUAUUAACCAUAUAUACUAGUUUCAAAAUCUAUUUUGCAAAUUAGUUGGGUAUAGAAAUUAUUUAGGGAUAUAGUUGAAGUCAGCACCCUGAGGGGCCGACUUUAGUAUUCUUAUUAGGGUAAGGCAACCAAUCAAUGUUAGGGUUAGACUAUGGCAACCUAUCAAAUGUUAGGGCUCACAUGAAGGCAACCAAUUAAUUCAGGGUUCACAUAAGAUUGAAGUAAUAUAGUUUUGCUGUACAUGCAUGCAUACUUGGGAUGAUGGGAGCCUAGCAUGAUGGAACUAGAGGCUUCUGAUUGAGCAGAUGGGAGAUUGAGAUGAUAAAAUAAGUCUCUAGAUGAGUUGAUGGAAGCCUGAUGAUAGAAAAAGGCACUGAACGCUUUUGGUUGAGUAGAUGAAAGAUUGAGACAAUAUAACAAGUUUCUGGAUGAGUUGAUGGAAACUUGAUGAUGGAACAAGGCUUGCGGUUUAGUAAAGAGUUAAUUGAAAUAAUAAUGAUUAAUUGAAAUAAUAAUGACAAAGUUGUCGGGGUUGAAGAUUAUAUAUAAACAUCGUCACAGCAGUUCAAGGGGAGAACUAAGUUUUUUCAACUUCUUUCCUUGAGCAUUGUUAUCUUCUUCUUGGUAUUAUCUUUUAAAUAAUUUGCAAUCUUUAUCUACCUUCUAUAAUCUACAAAAUGAGUAACAUGUUUUGUGAUGUGGUGAACAAUAAUGGUUGGAUUUGAGAUAUGAAUAUCGAUGUAAUCUUCAAGCAUGAAAGUCUGAUUAACAUGAUGUUUAGAAAGGAUAUCAAGUUAGUGGAUAUGAGAUGCAAAAUUGGUCAAAAAAUUGGAGCUCCAAUAGGCUUGUUGAGGUAUAAAUUUAUUACUUGUGACAAUUUAGUGAGAUAUUUUGCAAUUAAUCAUGUAGCAUAUGAUGAUGAUCUAGAAACAAUUAUUGCACUUCAUGAGUCUAAUGGUAUUGAAAGAGUGGAGUUGUAAGUUGAGCUUGACAGCAUUGAAAAAGAAUAUGGGGGUUGAUAUUUGAAGCUCGCCUAAGAGCCCUUUAAUGGAUUCACAAAUUGGAACACCGGACUCGAUAUGCAAGUUGAUUAAUAGUUCCAUAUCGUUGUUGGAAACUCCUUAUAUCUCUGAUGAAUACACUUAGAUGGGAAUGCAAUCAUGAUAUUUUGCGUCAUAGUGUCCACAUAAAACUAAGCUUUAUAAUUUAGUCCUUUUUAAAACUAAGCUUAAUUUCUAUCAAUUUAACAUCUAAAACUUUCAAUUUUCAACAAUGGCAUCUCAUUGAAACUUUAAUAAUUGCUCAAAUUAAUCCUUGGGUUAGCUUAAUCAGGUUUUCAAUAUAAAAAAAUCUAUAAAAAUAACUAGGGACUAACUUGAAUAAAGGACCAAAAGAGUCUAAAAACCCAAAAAUGGCGUAAAGUCGUUUCUUUUGUUCUUGUGGCCGGUUGGAAGAGAUGAAGUUAUCUCUCUUUCCACCAAUUUUUUUUAUUUUAUACAUAGGUUAAGUUGUAAUUAAAAAAUAAGUUGUGUUAAUUAAAAAAUAAAUCGUGUUUUAUGUUAAUUAAAUCAAAUUUACUUAGUUAAUCAAUUAUUAACACUACCGUCCAUGAGUUUAUAUUUAAACAUGGUUUAAUUGUUGUUUUGAAUUUUUGGUUAAUUGCAAUUUAAGUCCCCAAGCAAUUUUCUAAUUAAAAAUCUAUAGUGAUUGGACUUUACAAUUUAGUCUCUAAACCUUAAUUAAUCACAAUUUUAACUAAAUUGACUACCCAAAUUUCAAUUCACCUAUAUAAUAAUUUCGAAAAUAUCUUUAUUUAAUAUUUACAAACUCAGUUUACAGAAAUAGAGUUCCAAAAUCAUUGUUUCUGACAUCACUAAAAAUCAGGUCGUUACAAAAUGUCAACUACUUGCUUUUUUGUAUUACAAUAUUGCAACUUGAUCACCCAUUUGCUACAAGUUCACGAAUAAAGUGAACUUGAAUCUCAAUAUGCUAUAUUCUUCCAUGAUAUGCUAGAUUUUUGGACAUAACAAUUUACGCUUUGUUGUCGCAAUAAAUAUCAAUUGCUCCAUUUUAUUAUUGACCAAGAUCAACUAAAUUCUUCUCAACCAUAUUCCUUGACAUGCUAAUGUUGUUGCUUCUGCAUACUAAGCUUAUAAUGAAGACAAGGCUAUUGUAGCUUGUUUAAACUCCAGAAAAUAGUCAAUCUAAGAUUGAAUAUGUAACUUAAAGUGUUUCUUCUAUCUUCCAAACACCUAGUCAAAUAAUUGUUCUGAACCCAUCUAGCUUGAAAUUUGGAACUUUUUCAUACCAUAACCCAAAAUCAAUUGUUUCAGCCCUAUAGAGCAAAACUCGUUUUGCUGCCCCCAAGAUGAUGCUUUGAAGGCUCGUGUAUAAAUCUUGAAAUUACCCUAACUAGAAAGGUUAUGUCAGGCCUUGUUUGAGUCGAAUAGAUCAAGCUAUCAACCAUGGUUCUAAAGUGACUUAUAUUAGCUUUUUUAGUCCCAUCAUCUAUCUACAACUUCUUGUUCAAGUUCAUUGGGGUCGUUGCAAUUUUGCAAUUUAAUAUGUUGAAUAUUUUAAGUAAAUCAGUUGUAUAUUUCCCUUGUUACACAAAAAUUUCAUCUUUAACUUGCUUCACUUUUAACCCAAGAAAAAAAUGCAACAGACCCAAGUCUGACAUCUCAAACUUUCUUUCCUUACACAAUUUAAACUCAUUAAUGAGAGAAAUCCAUGUAAAGAGUAUGUUCAUUCUUACUUUUCUCGAAGCCAUUAAAAAGAAAGUAUAAGUUUAUUUUGUUGUACUCCGCCCAUGAAGCUUUCUUUAAGCUAUAAAAAGAAGGUAUGGGUAGGUUUGUUCUUACUUGUUCUUUUUUCCCACAAACAACAAAACCUUCCAACUGAGAAACAUACACUUCCUCUUCGAGUUCUUGAUUUAAAAAUGCUGACUUCACAUAAAAUUAGUAAAUGGGCCAAUUUAAUUGAGCGAGUAAUGCAAUUAGAAAUUUUAUUGUUUCAAACCGAGCAACGGGAGAAAAUGUGUCAUCAUAACCUAAACCUUGUUGUUGUGAAUAACGUUUCACCACUGAUCUAUCGUAAUUUAAUAUGUCAAAUUAGCCUCCCUAGUACAGUUAACGAGCUUGCUUUUGAGAAAUUUAUAUAUAUUCUUUAUGUUUUUACUUAAUUUUUGUUCUUAGCUUUAAUAAGUGAAUUAGUAUGUUUUCGAUUACUUUUGAGACCCGAAAUGGCUAAAUACGUCAUCGAGGACCUAAUAAUUGAUUGAGUGUUGUAGGCAGUCAUUAGAGGCUCGAACAUGAGCAAAAACAUCACCUAGAAGAGGGUAUUGCGCUAUCGAAACUUGGAAGUCGUGAUACCCCUAACACCGCUAAAUUGAAGAGGAUCAAGGCCAUUCCUAGUGGUAUCGAGAUACCAGCUAUAGGAAUCAUGAUAUCAAACUCUCAAGGAAUCCUUUAAGUCAAGACUGAUGUGGUUAUCGUGAUACAUGACCAUGGGUAUCGCGAUACCCCUGACGAGAAUAGACAAAAAUGACAAGAAAAAUGACAGCAGGGGUAAACUUGUCCAACUUCAACACCAAUAAAAAACACACAUUGAGGGGUACUUUGGGCAUAAGAAGUAGGGUCAAAAAAUAGCUAAAAGAAGCCAAAAUUGGCUGAGAGACAUACAUUAGAUAUAAGCCGUAGUUUAGUUUAGUUUUCUUAUGUUUUCUCUUUCUCUUUUAGGGUUUUAGUUUUAUCUUCUCUUAUCCAUAGCUUAGGUUUUAUUUUUCUUGCACAUUUUCUUUUCUUUUCUUAGUUUCAUAGUUGGUAGUUAAGUUAGUUUUAAUUGUAGCUAGAGUUUAUUUGUUUAGUUAAACCUUCAACCUCUUUUGUUUACAUUUUAAUCGCAUGUUAAUUUUAUUCAGUAUUCUUUAGUUUCCUUGGUUAAAAAUCAUUUCUUUGGUGUUUUUGUUUAUUGUUCUUGCCUCCAUUGUUAUGCUAGUCAAGUUUUUGCAAGAAAGCUUGGGUUUUUAUUUAUUUACUUAGGGUUUAAGUUAAUGAUACUUUCAUUUAAUUUCUUGUUGUCAUUGGGUUUGAAUAUGAACAUGAGUAGCUAAAUCAUAGGUGGUUGGUUGAUGGAAAUACGGGGAAUGUGAUUUUCGGGUGAAAGGACUAAAUCAAAUAGACUUUAAAAAUUAUAAUUGAUGCCCUAAGGGAAAUUAAGAUAAGUGAGACCGAGAGGAGAUCUUACUGGGUGUAACACCCCAUACUCGUAUCCUACGCCGGGAUGGAGUACGAGGCAUUACCUAACUUAAACUCGUGCUUACGACCAAAUUCUGAGUCUCCAAGACUUGGACAAAUUUAAAACUUUCUCAAGCUUAUCAACACGUCCUUAAUAUAGGCCUACGAGGCCCAAAACACACAUCAAAAAUCAUUUGGAACCAAAUCGGGUUCUUUAGUCAACUUUAGAUAAAUGAUACUUGACACAAGGGCACAUGCCCGUGUGGGAGGGGCAACACGCCCGUGUGACCAAUUUGACAUGGUCGUGCCGUUAGCCCGUGUGGCUUAUACGGCCUAGGCAAUACAGGGACACACCCGUGUCCGACACCCGUGCGAAAUUAAUUCCUAAUUUAUACCUACAAGGGGUUUUCAUACGGUCUGGCACACGCCCGUGUCCCUGGUUCGUGUCCUUCACACGGCCAUGACACGCCCUUGUCCUAACCCAUGUGCAAAAAUCUAGACAUUAUGUUUCUGACGUCAGCAUUUCUUAAGGGUCACACGGCCAAGGCACACGCCCGUGUGUUAGGCCGUGUCCUUCACAUAGCUGAAACACACGGCCGUGUCUCUACCCGUGCGUUUACUACAAUGCAUAUCGACUUGAAAAUUUUACGUGCAGGGGACACACGGCCGAACCACACGCUCAAAGGGCAGACCGUGUGUCACACACGGCCUAGACACAUGCCCGUGUGUCUACCCAUGUGGACAAUAUAAGACUAUUUACCAAGCCUAUUUACCACCCUUACUUACACAACCUACAUAAUAGCAACCAUACCAGUAUAAGAAUAAUUUAUUUAAACCAAUCAGCCACAAUAGACUACAUAUCAAUUAAGCAAUUACUCAUUCAUGAGAGUAACUUCAUUUGCAUAUAUCAAAAUGAAUAUUUGCCAUCAUUCCAGACUUAAUACAAAAUGAAGGGUUUCCAACCCAAGCCAACACAUUUGGCCCGUUCUUAAUGACACAAAAAUAGUAAAGUCUAAGCCCUAUACAUGCCAUAUUCAAAAAUAUAAAUCAAACUAUACCGAAUGCUUCGAUUAAUAGUGUGAUCGAUAUCUCUGACUUCCUUUGGUCCUUGAGCUAAAUAGACGGCACUAUAAGAAAAUGAAAAAGGAGAGGAAGUAAGCACAAAGCUUAGUAAGUUGCAUAUAAAUAAAUAUACAACAUAACUUUCUCAUUCAUCAACAAGUAUCACAAUACACAAGUGGCAUAAGCAAAACUUAGUCAUCAAUAUUCAAAACACUUCAUAUAGCAUAUAUUGAGCUCACAUUUCAUACAUACCAUAUAGGUACCUGUACCACUCACAACUAGGUUAUACUUUCCUUAUUAACUUGAAAUCAUACUUUCACCGUUGAACCAUUUGGAACAUUAUCGGAUACUCAUUUAGCAUCAAACAUGGGGCCAAGUGCUGAUGCCAUGUCCCAGAUACGGUCUUAUACAAGUUCUAGCAUAUCUGUGCCGAUGCCAUAUCCCAGACAUAGUCUUACACUGGUACAUCUCGUAGUCGAUGCAUGUCCCAAACAUGUCUUACACUAGCACUCGUCUCAAUGCCGAUGCCAUGUCCCAAACAUGGUAUUACACUGGCUCUCAUAAUGUGGCUGAUGCAUGUACCCAAACGUCAUGGCAUGAAUAUCCGAUUUAUUUCCUAAGGUUCAACCGGGAAUUCUACUAUCUCUAUUCUCAUCACAUUUUCUUAUUUCCACAAUCAAGCAAUUUAUGCUAUAAUAGUUUCAAUACAAUUCAAAUACAUAUAUUAUUAAUGUAGUUUUACUAUUUACACACAACUUACCUCAGAUUACAAAAUGUGGCGACUAGUCGAUUUGCUUGGCUUUCCCCCGGUCUAGGUUUGGAUUCAGUAUUUCUUAAUCUAUAAUAAAAAAUACACUUAUUUAAUCACUUUAUCAACAUAGGCACUCUACAAUUCAUAUUUGGGCAAAAUAUCCAAUUUUCCCCUAGACUUUUGCAAAAUGACCAUUUUACCCCUAAGCCCGGAAAUUAAUUUUUAUCAAAUUUCUUCACAUAUUAGGCCUAGACGACCCCUUUUUACUCUUAUAGCAUAUCCAAAUUCUCACUAUUUCACACACUUAUCAUCUAUUUUACAACUUAUGCAAAAUAGUCAUUUUAGGUGUUUUCAUGCUAACAUCUUUCACAAAAGUUGUUUAUUAGACACCCAAGACUUAUUUUCUUCCUUGAAAACUCAGCAAAAAUUAUAAAUCUUUUCAUGGAAAAACCCUAAACACUUAAUAAUUUUGCAAAAUAGUACCAUCAUUUGAAAGCUCAUGCUUCUAGGGUCUCAAAAAUAUAAAAAUCAUCAAGAAAAACUAUCAAAAUCACUUACUUGUAAGGAUUACAAGUUGCUAAAAUUUUCAAGCUUUCAAACCCCUUUCAAUGGCUGAUUUUCAGUGGAGAAAGAAGGUGAAAAAGGGAUGAUAUUAUCUUUCCUUUAUUUACUCCUAUUUUAGUCAAAAUAAGCCACCUAAAUUACCAAACUUUGAAAAUUUGACCACCUUUGUCUCCUAUGGCCGGACAUGCCUCCCUAAAGGGUCUAAUUUCCCUUUAAAGACCCCCAAUUUAGGUUCUCUAGCUAUUUGGCACUUUUAGCUAUCAAAAUAAGACUUUUGCAUUUUAUGCGAUUUAGUCAUUUUACGCUACUAAGCUCACAAACGCUAAAAUUACUUCACCAAAUUUUCAUGCACUCUUAAAAACAUGCUAUAAUAUCAAAAUAAUAAUAAAAUAAUUUCUUUGACUUCGGAUUUGUAGUCCAGAAACCACUAUUCUAAUUAGGCCCAAAAUCGGGCUGUUACACCGGUCACUAAUUUUGUAAUGACCCGAUAAUCAGGAGUGUCAAAAAGUGUAUUCUCGAGACUCUGUUCCCAUAAAUUAGACUCGUAAAUAUUUAUUAAGAAUAUUUACAAAGCUAGUUGUGUAGUUAAUUAGGUUUUGGUUAAGUGAAUUUGCAUGAAUUAAGAGUAAUUAUGUAUAAGGACUAAAUUACAUAUAGGGUGAAAGUUGAAUUAUAGAUUAAAGAAAAAUUAAAGGGACUAAAAAAGAAUUAUGCCAUUAUUUUUAUUGAGGCGACAUAAGAUGUGAAUUUUAUUAUUAUAUAUAUUAUAAUAACUAAAGUUAAAAUAUAUAUUAUAAUAUGUUUACUUAAUAUUUAAGUAUAUAUAUUAUAUAAUAAAACAAAUGAAUAAGUAAAUGAAAUAAAGAAAAAGAAAGAGAGAAAGUAAAACGAAACAGAAAGAAAAGAAAGAAAAAGAAAAAGAGAACGAAGAAAGAAACAAAUGCGAAAGCUUAGGGGUUUCAAAGUUUCAAGUUCAAUUGGUUAGUCAAUUUAGUCCCUUUUUCUUAUAAUUUUUAUAUUUUUGGAAUUCCGGUGUUAAGUACUACCCGACCCAUGUCAAAAUUUUAGCAAUUAUUAAGUUUUUAAAUGUUAUUAAUGUUGAAUAAUUUUAGUAUUAGGGAUUAAAUUGAUAGAUUUUUAAGCUAGAAAUGAAAAAUGACUAAAUUGUAGAAUAAAUUAUAAAUUUUGAAUAAUAACGACUAAAUUGUAAAAAUUCUAAAAUUAGGGAUUUAAGUGAAAAUAAUGAGUUAAAUUUAGUUAAAAGUGAAAUUUGUGUGAAAAUAUAAAAUCAUUUGUAAAGAAAUAAAGUUAGUCACGAUUAGGGAAUAAAUUGAAAAUUAGGCAAAUAUUGAAAUAUGCAAUAUGAAAUUGAAUUGUGUUGUAUUGAUGAAUUUUAAUUGUCAUAAUUUUCUAGCUAAUGUCGUACCAAAAUCUUUGACUAAAAAGGGGAAAGAUAAAGUCGAUAUCGAAUAGCUCAGAAUUUUUAGUUUGUAUUUCUAUAAUCCGAAACUAGUUAUUAAUUAUUGUAUUUUUUGAUUUAGUGCAUAUGGUAAGUGUUGAGGUGAGUAUUUGACACUUUGACAUUGAAUUGGAUUAAAAUUAAUUGAAUGGAUUGAAUUGAUAUAUAUAUUAUGAAAGUAUUGAUUAUUGAAUUGAAAUGAAUAUAUCUAUGUGUGAAAAUAUGAUAAUUCAAUUUUGGUUGUAUUUGGAAAGUGAAAUUAAAUAAUAUUAACUGUAUCAGGCUGAGUCAGAUAUAGAUGGCAUGUCAUAGGAUUGGAAGAGUUCAGAGAUUUCUUCGACUUCGAGUUGAUGAGGCACUGGGUACCAAUUUACUUCGGUUUAACCGAUGAUACACUGGGUGUCAAUUUAUUACUUCGAAUUUAUUCGAUGAGACACUGGGUGUCAAUUUACUACUUCGAAUUAUUCGAUGAGGCACUGGGUGCCAAACUGGUGUGUUGGUUUUAUCCCUGUAUCUGUCCGAGUCUGAGUCAUGUUAAUAGGGGUAAAUAAAUAAUAAAGUUCUAUAAUUGAUAUUGAAAUGACAUGGUAGUGAUAUAUUGAAUUGAAAAUAAAAUAUAAAAUAUGUUGGCAAUACAUGGAAUAUAUGAGUUAUAUACUCAUGAAUUGAGUAUGGUAUGAAAUAAUGUAUUCAUGAAUAGAGUAUUGCAUGACUAAUGCUAUUGUACGAAUAAAUAUGGUUUGAUAUGUGAAUAACCAUUUAUAUAGUAAUUGUGUGAAUUGGGAUAUUAUUUAAUAAAUGAAAAAUGAUAGUCAUGAUACUAGACAUUAAUAUGUUCUUAUAAUUCAAUUGUGUAUAUUAUAUUAUAUUGUCUUUAAAUAUUCGGAUUAUAGAAAUACCACUGAGUUUUACUCAGCGUACGGUUUUGUUUUCCAUGCGCAAAUUAGGUACUGUGAUUUUGAAGAGUUGUAAUUGAGGUUGUGAGCAUCCAUCUUGUAGAAGCGCAAAUUGCCCGGGCCCGAUUAUAUCAAAACCCAACCAAACCUCUAAACCCACUAAAACCCUUAACCCAUGACCCAUUUACAUCUACCCAAACCCAUUACAAAACCCAAAUAUUAAACCCAAUUCAAAAGCCCAUUAAGCCCUCCCAAAAAAAAACCUAACCAAAAAAAAAAGAAAAAAGAAAAAACCUAACCCAAAAAAAAAAGAAAAACCUAACCCCAAAAAAAAACCAAGAAACCCUAGCCACCUAACUACUUUCCCACUUGCCCCAUUUUUCCUCCCAUUUUUAAUAUCCAUUGUCUACCACCACCACCUACAAAAUAGAAAAAGAAAUAAUAGAAAAUCAUGUAAAAGAUGGCUAUAAAAAGCCAUUCAAAAAUCAUGUAAGGAGGGAUUUUUACAAAGAUUGAAAAAAAAAACACAAAAAUCCCUAUAAAUUUUGAACACAAAAGAAACAUCAAUAAAAAGGUUGCAUCUUUUUCUUUUUUCCUCUUCUUUCGAAUCUUUUUUUUUUUCUUUUUUUUUGUGUUGUUUUUUUCUUUCUUUAUAUUUACAUAUAUUGUUAAAAAAAUUUUACCUUUUCCGGCCACCGUGGGCGGUGGCCGGCGGUGGCCGACGACAGGCGGUGACCGACGAUCGACUGGUGACCGGCCCCCCUUGACCGGAUUUCCUUUCCCCCCUCCCUUCUCUCUUCUUUCCCCCUUCUUUUUUUUAGGUAUUUUAUAUAUAUUAUGUAUAUAUUUUUUAAUGCCAUUAGUUAUAUAUUUCUUAUGUAUAUAUUCUUAAAUACUAUUAUAUACAUAUAUAUAUAUAUUUUAAAUACCAUAUUGUGUAUAUAUUAUUAUUACAAAUUAUUACUAUUGCUAGUAUUAUUAUAACUAUUAUUAUAUUAGUGUAUAUUUUAUGUACAUAUGUAUAUAUAUAUUUUUGCACAUAUCAUUAUUUUAUAUUAUUGUUGUAAAUUUUUUAUGUAUAUAUUUUUUAUGUACGUUUCCUAAUAUUUUCUUUUAUUGUAGAUAUUAUUAUUAUUACAUACUUUUAUUAUAUGCAUAUAUAUAUAUGUAUUUUUAUGUACAUAUUAUUAUUUUAUAUUAUUAUUACCAAAUAUAUCAUUUUUCCUAUUUUAUUAUUAAUACAUGAUUUGUUUUUAUUUUGUAAAUAUCAUUAUUAUUGUUAUUCUAAUAUUCUAGUAUUCCAUGUUAAUAUUUUUCAUUAAUGAUAUCAUUUUUUUGCGUCCUUUAUCUAUUUUUAAUUUCUCACUUUAGGAAUAUUUUUUUCUCAUGUUUUAAUUAAUUUCAAAAAUAAGGCAAUGUACCGAUUUAAUAUUAAGCCAUCGAUUUCAUCGCUAUGUUGGGUGAAAUUCGUCGGCUUGUGUUAAAAAACGGGACACCCUUUCUAAAAAAAAAUCGAAAACUAAAAAUUAUCAUUUUUCAAUCGGAUCACGAUUAAAUAUUAUAUUGAACUCGUAUUUUUGAAAAUCAAGUCAACACAUGUUUAUGAGAUACCAAUUUUGGGCGUCGUGAGGGUGCUAAUAUCUUCCUCACGCGUAACUGACUCCCGAACCCCAAUUUUUCUCUGGACUUUCAUGUAGACCUAAAUUUGGCCUUCUUUUUGUUUUAAAAUAAUUUUAUUAGGUGUCCGAUCACACCUAUAAAAAAGGAUCGGUGGCGACUCCCUUUGUUAAUAAAAUCGAAAGUUGGUUUUCAAAUGUUUAAUAAAUCGCCACAAUUAGCGACCAAGCGAAACUAAAUUUUUUUUACGUCGCUACAGCUGGGGACUCCGCUGGGGACCUCCAUUUUUGAGAGUCGAGUUGAAUUAAACGCAUGUUGUCAAAAUUUUCAAAUUUUCGUGUUCAAAUUAAUAUUUAAUCAUGAUCCUUAAGUUUUGUUUUCGAAAAAAUCAUACAUACGUAUCUCCUAAUUUGUUUUAUCUUUCGUUUUAGUUUUGUAGUUUUAAAAUAAAUGGAAGGAUUGCAAGUUUCUCCCACACACCGUGCACUUGCAUUUUGCAUAACAUAAGCUCUCUACCCGGGCUCUGUCCGUUUAAGUGAAAGUAAACGCUAUGCCUUCGUGAGUUAACACGUCCCUCCGCACAGGCUAGUGAAUACUUUCGGGUUACAUAUGACUUAUGCUUUCGUGAGUUAACUUGUCCCUCCGCAUAGGCAUAAGUAAAUGUAAUCCCUCGAAUUGAACUCGUGAGCCUGUGAUGGGUUAUGACCGAGGCUUCGUGCUAAUCUUAGCAGAUGAUAGUGCGAGCAAUUCGAGUACCUGUCUAGAACCAAAACCGCAUAUAGUGAACCAUACGAGUCACCCAACUAGAGCCAUGCCGAACCUCCGCUCGUUUAGUAGUCACCGAAAUAAGUACACGGGAAAAACACAUCUUACCUUCUAUUUCUUUUACAUUUGUGCUUUCUAAGCAAGAGAAUCGAGUCCACUGGACCAAGUAGCUUAAUUUGUUAGAUUUUCCACAGUUUUUCUCUGUUUAUAUGUGUUGCGCUAACCAAGGUCGUUUGUCUGUAUUUUUAUUUUUAUCAUGCAUCAAAGGCAUCUUGUUAGGAAGGUGUUGAUUAGAGAUUGGUUGCCAAAAACGAGUUUCUAAUGGAGGAGUCAAUUAUAAGAGUGACCGAAACGUUGUGUAAUACUCCUUUGAUUAAGAAAAUGCCUAAAUAGGGGCUAUCUUGAAAUUAACACCAAAUUUUUGCAUAUUCAUUCAUGACUGACAUUCAUUUGACAUUCAUGCAUUCAUUCAUGCAUUCAUUCAUACAUUGCAUAUCCCAUACUCGGUCGCUGAAGAUAAAAUAUAUAAUUCGCAGUUGUAAUACCACAAGACUGGAACCACAUCAUCCGUAUAAAACGCGCCGACAAGCUAGAGUAAUGGAGGCUGAAUUCAAUGAGAGAAUUGAAAGAAUGGAAAGGGCUCAAAAGGAAUUACAAGAGCAACUAGCCAAAUCGCAACAAGAAACGAGAGACCUAAUGGUGAGAUCUCGAGAGGAAUCACUCGAGCAAAGAGAUCAGAUGGCCAAAAUGAUGGAGAUGAUGACAACUUUGGUCAAAGGAAAAGGACCCGUGCAGAACCCUGAUAUUAUGGAACCUCAGUCAAGAAUUCACCACGAUUAGGAUCCACUCUAUCCCCCGGGAUUCACUCCACCACCCGUAUAUACAACAUAAAGAGGGUAUACUCAAGGGGAACCCACAGUCUUGGAACAACGACCUAUGCCACCUGCUCCACCCACUAAUCUAGGGUAAGGAAUAUUCGUGUCGAACCUAGGGGCAAGCCUUGCUGAUCCACUAGUUCCAGAUCUGGACGACCCAGCAGAGGUAGCCAAGUUGAAAUUGGAUAAUCAUGGUGUAAAAUAUAGAAGUCUAGAGGAAAGACUCAAAGCAAUAGAAGGCACUGAAGUCUUCUCCGCACUAGGUGCCAAAGAACUCAGUUUGGUACCUGAUCUAAUCUUGCCUCCGAAAUUCAAGGCGCCUGAUUUUGAAAAGUAUGAUGGGACAAGGUGCCCAAAAGCACAUCUCAUCAUGUUCUGUCGAAAAAUGACCGGUUAUGUGAACGAGGAUAAGCUACUUAUACAUUGCUUUCAAGAUAGUCUAACAGGGUCAGCUCUUCGGUGGUACAACCAACUCAGUAGAGAAAAGAUUCGAUCCUGGAAGGACUUGGCGUCAGCAUUUUGCGAGCAGUACAAGCAUGUGUCGGAUAUGGUGCCAGACCAGAUGACCUUGCAAAUGAUGGAGAAAAAGCCAUCAGAAACCUUCAGACAGUAUGCGCAGAGAAGGAGAGACGUCUCGGCCCAAGUGGAACCCCCACUAACAAAAACAGAGAUAACCGUUCUCUUUAUCAACACCUUAAAGGUGCCAUUUUAUGACAAAUUAGUGGGAAGUGCCACGAAAGAGUUUACGGAUAUUGUAAUAUUUGGUGAGCUCAUAGAGAAUGCCGUCAAGAGCGGUAGAAUGGAAGGCUCAGAAGGUUCAAAAAGGGCAGCACCUAUGAAGAAGAAAGAACCAGAAGCCCAUAUGGUGGGAAUGAGAAGCCGUUAUGCCUCUAAUCCAUAUCCGAACCAACCCCGACCUCGAAAUUAUCCACCUCUAAAUUUCUAUUAUCCCCCUCAAAACCCUUACUACCAAGCACCACCUCCUUCCUAUCCUGUUUACGCCACGAACAACAAAAGACCCAUCACCUCAUUCCCACAAAACACUAUACCCGCUCAAAGCCAACCCAGAAAUGAACCAAGACCAGCAAGGCCUAAUCCCGAGAGACCGCAGUUUACUCCCAUCCCUGUGUCGUAUGGGGAAUUGUACCUAAAACUUUUGAAGAAACAGUUAAUAUCCCCCCAUUACAUGGCACCCCUUAAACCUCCAUACCCAAAAUUGUACGAUCCAAACGCUAGUUGUGCAUACCAUGCUGGGAAUCAGGGGCAUUCUACGGAGAACUGUCUUGCCUUCAAAAGGAGAGUUCAAUGACUCAUUGAUGCGGGCAUUUUGCGAUUUGAUGGUACUGGCGGUACAACCGGGAAUCCAUUCCCAAACCACACCGAAGGGGAUGUGAGCGCAGUAGGAGAGAAAAACGAACGGCAAAGUAGAAGAUGAGUUUCUUAAAUAAGAAUACCUCUGCAAAAAAUCUGGGAGGUACUAGUUGAAAAAGAGUUGCUCUAUCGUCUUGACGGAGUAUUCGAAGGAAAAGAUGCAAAAGGUCACAGUUUUUGUGAGUUCCAUGGCGUUGAAGGGCACGACAUUCAGUCCUGCGAUGAGUUCAGCGGAUUACUGCAAAGUAUGAUGGAUAACAAGGAGAUUGGGAUCUUUUAUAAAAGCGAGGAGGCCGAUAGAAGAGAAAUAUGCGCUUCUGACAAUCAAUCAUCAAGUUUCCCAUAUAGCGUCGACCGACUGUUAAUAAUUUAUUAUGACGCGAAGAAAGAGCCGGUGAAGCCAAAAAUGAUAAUCGAAGUACCAUCUCCUUUCCCUUAUAAGAACAAUAAAACAGUACCGUGGAGAUACGGUGUUAAUAUUUUCACACCGGAAGUUGGAAAUUCCAAAGUCAUAACUGAAGAUGUGGGAGAGGUAGGUCAUUUUACCCGAAGUGGACGGUGCUAUUCUAAAGAAAUUGAACCGGUAAAAAAAAGAAUAGUGAUUGGAAGCAAAAAGGGAAAGCAGUGAUGCACGAAGUCGAAGUCGAGCGAGAAAUUCCACCUGUGCAAGAAACCAAAAAGCCUGUGAAUGAGGAAGAAGCUCAGGAAUUCUUGAAAUUUAUCAAGCACAACGAGUAUAGUGUGGUGGAACAAUUGAGUAAGCAGCCAGCACGAAUCUCAGCUUUAUCUCUACUGUUAAAUUCAGAGCCACACCGGAAUACUUAAUUGAAGGUGUUAAAUCAAGCUUAUGUGGCCAACAAAAUAUCCGUUGAGAAGCUUGAUAGGUGGGUAAAUAAUCUAAAUGCGGACAAUUUCAUCUCUUUUAGUGAUGAUGAGAUACCGCCAAAUGGUAGAAGCUCGGUGAAAGCGCUACAUAUCACGACUCGCUGUAAGGGCUACAUAAUACCGAACGUACUCAUCGAUAAUGGGUCAGCAUUAAAUGUUAUGCCAUUGGCCACGCUUUUCAGAAUACCGAUGGAUUUGUCCUACUUAAGACCCUGUCAUUCCACGGUAAGGGCAUUCGACGGGACGAGGCGUGAAGUCAUGGGAAAGAUCGAAAUUCCUUUGGAAGUGGGCCGUUACAUUUAUGAUGUCGAGUUCCAAGUCAUGGACAUUACACCCUCUUAUAACUGCCUUUUGGGAAGACCCUGGAUCCAUUCUGCUGGAGCAGUCCCAUCAUCCCUCCAUCAAAAGGUGAAAUUUAUCAUGGACGGUUGUUUGGUCACUGUCGAGGGAGAAGAAGACAUUGUCGCAUCCGUCUCUGCCGAUGCACCGUACUUGGAAGUGAACAAAGACGCAUUGGAAUGUUCCUUCCGAUCCCUUGAAUUCGUCAAUGCCACUUUUGUUGUUGAGGGAAACAGAAUUCUGGUGCCAAAACUGUCGAGAAAUACUGGGUGUCAAAUUGACCGUAGGAAGGGGAGCUCGAGCGAGAAGAGGUUUAGGGAGAUAUCUGCAAGGAAUAGUCAGGGCUUUAAAGCCAGUGCACCACAGGGCCCGAUACGGUUUGGGGUUCUAGCCUGACAUGCGUCAAAGAAGAAGACAGUGGAAAAAAGAUCAGGAAAGAAGGAUUGCAAGAACUUUGGGCCGAGAACCAGAAUGGGAACCAAUAGAGUACCCUCCUUUGUCAAAAACAUUUACAUCUGCGGGAAUGAUGUACCCUGGACAAGAUGGUCCACGAAACACGCUAUGGUUAAUUGAAAAGGGUCUUCAAAAUGUCAGUAUAAAUGUUAUUGACAAAGGGGCUGAUGUGAGUAAAGACGUCUCGAGGAUACACCCUUGUCCUCCUGGUUUCAUGUUGAACAAUUGGACUGCCGAGGACCUUCUUGUAGUUUAUAAGUCUUCAGAGUAAUGCUCAAACAUUAACCCUCUAUUGUGUCCUUAGAUAUAAUAGAACUCUUUUGUAAGAGCUUGCAUUCACUCUUUAUCAUUUAAAUGAAUAUCAAUGAAGAUGCAUUUUAUCACGAUCUUUCUCAUUAUCACUAAUUUCAUAAUCAUCUCCUCAUUUCAUAGCCUAUCUGUACAUUUGCCUCAUACCAUGCCAAAACAUUUCGUUUGUUGGUUCCAAUACUUGGAUGCCCCUCUAUAGUUUCCUUUUCCAUUCAACUUUCAGGUGCUCAGAUAUCAAUGGCAUGAACAAACCCGUUACGAGUCCUGAAAUCGAUUUUGAGAAGACUGUUUGUUUAGGAGAAUUCGAAGCCGAAGAAAAUGCUGAAGACUAUGUCUCGUCUCCUGACUUGCUAAGAAUGGUGGAACAAGAGGAUAAACAGAUUUUGCCUCAUCAAGAAUCUAUUGAAACAAUAAAUCUGGGAAUUGAAGAAAGGAAACAAGAAGUGAAGAUUGGGACUUCUAUUUCAGAGGGCACCAGGCAUAAUUUGAUUGCUUUGCUCCGCGAGUACAAAGAUGUAUUCGCAUGGUCAUAUCAGGACAUAUCAGGAUUGGAUGAAGAUGUAGCGGUCCAUAAGCUUCCAUUAAAGCCAGAAUGCAAGCCCAUUCAACAAAAGCUAAGACGGAUGAGGCCUGAGAUGUUGUUGAAGAUAAAAGAGGAAGUCAAUAAGCAAUUUGAUGCUGGUUUCCUACAAGCCUCCAAAUAUCCAGAAUGGGUGGCUAACAUAGUCCCGGUGCCAAAGAAAGACGGUAAAGGACGAAUGUGCAUGGAUUAUCGUGACCUAAAUCGAGCAAGUCCUAAAGAUAAUUUUCCCUUACCACACAUUGAUACGUUGGUGGAUAACACAGCAAAACAUUCAUUGUUUUCUUUCAUAGAUGGAUUCUCGGGGUAUAAUCAGAUCAAGAUGGCCCCUGAGGAUAUGGAGAAAACUACCUUCGUAACAAUGUGUGGAACAUUCUGCUACAAGGUAAUGCCAUUUGGGUUAAAGAAUACUAGAGCAACAUAUCAGAGGGCUAUGGUGACAUUAUUCCAUGACAUGAUGCAUAAAGAAAUAGAGGUCUACGUCGAUGACAUGAUUGCUAAAUCCCGAGGGGAAGAAGAGCAUGUAGUGAACCUCAAGAAGUUGUUCGAAAGGCUGAGAAAGUUUCAGCUAAAGCUUAAUCCAGCCAAAUGUACGUUUGGGGCUACCUCGGGGAAGUUGCUAGGCUUCAUUGUCAGUGAAAGAGGUAUCGAGGUUGAUCCAGAUAAAGUAAAAGCCAUUCAAGAGUUACCACCUCCACGCACGCAAAAGGAAGUUAGAGGAUUUUUAGGGAGAUUAAACUACAUCGCCCGGUUUAUCACUCAACUUACCAACCAAUGCGACCCAAUCUUUCGGCUUCUUUGAAAACAUAACCCGGGAGAAUGGAACGAGGAAUGCCAGGUGGCCUUUGAUAAGAUAAAACAAUAUUUGUCCAGUCCUCCAGUGUUAGUACCGCCAACUCCAGGAAGACCAUUGAUAUUGUAUUUUACUGUGUUCGAAAGUUCAAUGGGUUGCGUACUGGGGCAACACGAUGAGUCAGGAAAGAAAGAAAAAGCGAUCUACUACCUCAGUAAAAAGUUCACUGAAUAUGAGGCAAAAUAUUCGUCCAUUGAGAAAUAUUGUUGCGCUCUGGUUUGGGUAGCUCGGAGACUCAGACAAUAUAUGUUGUAUCACACGACAUGGCUAAUUUCAAAGCUGGACCCAAUAAAAUACAUGAUGGAAUCGCCGGCACUAUCAGGAAGAAUGGCACGAUGGCAGAUCCUCCUUUCGGAAUAUGGCAUUGCCUAUGUAAGUCAGAAGUCGAUAAAAGGGAGUGCAAUAGCUGAUUUCUUAGCAACUCGAACGAUAGAGGAAUAUGAGCCUUUAAGAUUCGAUUUUCCAGACGAAAACUUAAUGUGCAUCACAAAAAUAGAAUCCGAGUCAUCAAAAGAGAAGUCAUGGAAGAUGUGCUUUGAUGGUGCGUCAAAUGCUUUAGGGCAUGGAAUUGGAGCAAUCCUGGUAUCACCAGACGGGAAUCAUUAUCCGUUCACUGCAAGGCUGAACUUCUUCUGAACUAAUAAUAUCGCAGAAUAUGAGGCCUGUAUCAUGGGGCUUCGUGCAGCUAUCAAACGAAACAUCGAGAUCUUGGAGGUGUACGGGGACUCAGCCCUAGUGAUUUACCAAAUCCGUGGAGAGUGGGAAGUGAGGGACUCAAAAUUGAUUAAGUACAUCGAUUUAGUGGCUGGAUUGAUCAAGGAAUUCAAAGAAAUAACUUUUCAUUACUUCCCACGAGAAGAGAACCAACUGGCUGAUGCCCUGGCCACUUUGGCUUCAAUGUUCAAAGCAAGUAGAGAAGCAGAAAUAAUGCCCCUCAAAAUGAGCAUAUACGAUGUCCCUGCACACUGUUGUAGCAUUGAGAAAGAAGUAGACGGACGGCCUUGGUUCCAUGAUAUCUUAGAAUAUAUCAAGAAUCAAAGGUAUCCUGAACAAGCUAAUGAGAACGAUAAAAGAACAAUUAGAAGAAUGGCAGCGGGAUUUGUUCUUGAUGGAGAUAUCCUAUAUAAAAGAGGAAAGGAUCAGAUGCUUUUGAGAUGUGUGGAUGAUGUUGAAGCCAGAAAAAUACUUGAAGAGGUCCAUGAGGGAAUUUGCGGAACGCAUGCCAAUGGUUUCAAUAUGGCCAGAAAGAUCAUGAGACUCGGUUAUUAUUGACUGAAAAUGGAAAGUGACUGCAUCAAUUUUGCCAGAAAAUGCCACAAAUGUCAAAUCUACGGUGAUAAAAUUCAUGUAGCCCCUUCACCCCUUCAUGUCAUGACUUCUCCGUGGCCUUUUUUUAUGUGGGGCAUGGAUGUCAUAGGGCCAAUUUCUCCAAAAGCUUCAAAUGGACAUCGAUUCAUUUUUGUGGUUAUCGAUUACUUCACAAAAUGGAUUGAAGCCGCUUCGUUUGCUAAUGUGACGAAGACUGCAGUGUGCAAGUUUUUUAAAAAGGAAAUCAUUUGCCGAUAUGGUUUGCCUGAAAGAAUCAUUUCAGAUAAUGCCAUGAAUCUGAACAAUAAGAUGAUGGAAGAAGUGUGCGAGCAAUUCCAAAUAAAGUAUCAUAACUCCUCUCCCUAUCGCCGAAAGAUGAACGGGGCUGUGGAAGCAGCCAACAAAAAUAUUAAGAAGAUCAUUGGGAAAAUGACUGAGACAUAUAAAGAUUGGCACGAGAAACUACCAUUUGCUUUGUAUGCAUAUCGCAUAUCUGUGCGAACAUCUACAGGAGCAACUCCUUUCUCUCUGGUUUAUGGAAUGGAAGUUGUGCUAUCUAUUGAGGUUGAGAUCCCCUCUCUGCGAGUUUUAAUGGAAUCAAAGUUAGAAGAAGCAGAAUGGGUACAAGCUCGAUAUGAUCAACUGAACCUCAUUGAAGAAAAGCGUCUCAGGGCAAUUGGUCAUGGACAAAUGUACCAGAAAAGAAUGAUCACAGCCCAUGACAAGAAGGUACGACCAAGAGAAUUCCAUGAAGGAGAACUCGUACUGAGGAAAAUUCUCCCAAUACAAAAAGACCUGCGAGGAAAAUGGGCACCAAAUUGGGAAGGACCAUUCGUAAAGAAGGCAUUCUCAGGAGGAGCUUUGAUCCUUACCGAGAUGGAUGGGAAAGAAUUGUCGAAUCCAGUGAACUCAGAUGCUGUGAAAAAAUAUUAUGCUUAAGAUGAAAACCCGAAAAGGGCAUCUUAAAAAAAAAGUAUCAAGGCGAAAACCCAAAAAGGGCGUCUUGAUUAGUACAAAAGGAUUAGGAUGAAAACCCGAAAGGGCGUCCUAAUGAAACAAACCCGGCGGUCGAACAAUAGGUCAAGCAGUAAGGCUACAGUAUUUGAAGCAUUUCUGAAAGCUCGAAAUCUUCUACGCAAGAAGCUGCGCUCGAAAAGAUUUUUGAUUGAGGAAUGAGGAAGAGUUCAUGUGUUGAAUAUCUAGAGCAUUUGUAUCCGUUGAAUACGAUCCUUUCUUUCUUUUUGACAUUUUUUUACUCUCAUUGGUUAACUUGCUUUGUUUGCCACAUUUGAAAUAGAUGAAUAUGAAAUAUCAUUUUUGUCCCUAUCUGACCUUUUUCAUGCAUCUCAUUAUGUGUUUAUUUACAUGAUAAAUGGUGAAAUGACAUACUCUAAACAAAAGAAAUGUUAAGCAUUACCUGGAUGAAAAUUUGAUAAGCACAAGAGUCUCAAAGUAAGAGCAAAGUUCAAUCGGGGGCAGAAGAGUGAUAUCUGAGAAACGUCGAUUACUCGUAAAGCUUGAAGACAGGUAUAAGGCCUGAAGAGAAAGUCGAGAAUCAAAGCAAUGAACACAGAUCCUCAACAAUCGUGGCUAAAUGGACAUCCGACAAAAAUGCUUAAGGAGCACUGCAUAAUCAUGUAGGCAUAAAAGCAUUUAAGAAAAACAUGUGCAUAUCAUGAUAACAUCAUACAUGGCAUAUACAGGUACUCCAGCAGAGCAAGAAAUCUUGAAUGAGAGUCGCACUGAAUCAAAGAAAAAGACACCCGAGUUCUACCAAAGGACAGGUUUUGGUAUUUUGAUGUUUUUAAUUCAUGCUUUUCAAGGGAAAUUAACUCAUAUUGCAAGAGAUGAGUUGUAACACCCUGUACCCGAGACCGUUGUCAGAAGCGACCACGAGGUGCUAACAGACAUAAUUCAUGUAUGUUCACAGUCCAUUUUAAAAAUUUCCAGACAGCUGGCUAACUGCGUCACUGUCACCUUAAAAAUCAUAUCUUGAGUUCCAAAAAUCGAAAAUCAGUUUCGUAAUUUUUCCCUGAAACUAGACUCAUAUAUCCAUCCAAAAAUUUUUUUUUAGACUUUUUGGUCAAUCCAAUUAGUACAGUUUAUUAGUUAAAGUCUCCCCUGUUACAGGGUUCGACUACACUGACCUUCCUGCAUUGAAACUUAUAUAACUCCUUAUACAGGGCUUCAAUACUUAUGCCGUUUGUUUCUAAUGAAACUAGACUCAAAAAGGAAUCUAUACAUAUGUGGCUUGACUUCUAAUUAUCUCUGGUUAAUUUGUAAUGAAUUUCCAAAGUCGGAUCAUGGGAUCCAGAAAUCGCUCUGGCCCUGUCCCACGAAAACUUAAAUAUCCCUUAAAAUACGACUCAUAUGACCGUUUAGUUUCUACCAUAUGGAAGUAGAUUCAUCAAGGUUCGAUUACGUAAUUUAUUCACUAUUUAAUUCCAUUCCUACUAUUUUUAGUGAUUUUUCAAAUUCACACCACUGCUGCCGUCAGCAUCUGCCUUUAAGGUAGACUUUACCUAUGACAUAGUUUCCAUGAUUCAACUAACCCUUUAGCAUAUAUAGCACAAAGUAUGAUCGUGAUUAACCAUUCCAAUGGCCAAUCAUUGCCAAGCACAUCCACAACUCUCAAUAACCAUAUACAUACAAAAUGAUUAUAACAUUAUGCUCAAAAAUAUAUAUAAGCCAUUUUCGCAUGGCUAUCCAAAUUUGUACAAUACCGAAAGGUCAUGACCAACAUCAAAAAGGGUAGUCCUAUACAUGCCAUUUCAAAGUUCAACCAAAAGUGUACCAAAGGGGGCUUUGAUAGUGUGGGCGACUUCGACUUCAAUAAUCCCGAGUCUGAUAGCUGACGAACCAAAAUCUAUAAAACAGAGAUUCAAAGAAACGGAGUAAGCAUUUAAUGCUUAGUAAGUUUUGAGCCAUGGAAUUUGACACAACUAAAGGGUAGCAUUCAUAUGGCUAAAUGGAUAAUUUCAUAUGCACAAAUUCUCAAUAUCAUACUUACUUCACAUUACCAACCCUUAUAUUCAUACACAAAAGAUCAACUCAGCCAAAGGCCGGUAGCUCAUUUAUCGACUGAGCGAAUACUAAUUGUAAGGGAUCAACUAAAUCAAUGCAUAUACGAGACAUACCUCAUUGCUGGGAUUUUACGAGCAUAUUAAUUGAAACUAUUACAGCAAGGUCGCUCAUUCCCAAGCCAAGUACCUUCGGGAUUUAACCGGAUAUAGCUACUCGCUCAAUGCCUUCGGGACAUAGCCCGGAUAUAGUAACUCACACAAAUGCCUUCGGGACUUAGCCCGGAUGUAAUAACUCGCACACAAAUGCCUUCGGGACUUAGCCCGGAAUGUAAUAACUUGCACAAAUGCCUUCGGGACUUAGCCCGGAAUGUAAUAACUUGCACAAAUGCCUUCGGGACUUAGCCCAGAACUAGUCACUAGCGCAAAAUGCCUUCGGGACUUAGCCCGGUUAUCAUCCAAAUAUUCAUGCUCAUAUCAAUAAAUCAUGACACAUCUAUAUUUCAUUUUCAUAAUUGGAGUUCAAACACAAGUCACGUAUUAAGCAAUCCCAUUUUCGGCUCACUAGCCACAUACAAACAGCAUGGUUUAGUUUGCUUUAUGACACGAUCUCUAUGCACAUACGGCUACCCGUCAUACGUAUAGACUAAUUAAAUCAACAUAUAAUUCAAGUAGAAUCAUCGUAUCACCGUAUAUUUGUUAUGCUCAUACGUCAUGACUUAAUCAAAUCGUAAACAAAGUCUCGUUACUCGAAAACUUACCUCGGAUGUUGUCGAACGAUUUCGGCGGCUAUUCGAUCACUUUUUCCUUUCCCUUAUCCAACUUUGGUCCUCUAAGCUCUUGAGCUAAUUCAAACAAAUUUAACUUAUUAAAGUCUCACUAUGCUAGCUUAUGGCCGAAUAUGACAAGGAGUUUGAUAGGUCAUAUGGCCACUUUUAGCUCAAAUACAAAAUGGUCAUACGCAUUUUUAAUCACAUUGAGUAAUUUAAUAGAAUUAAUCUAACAUUUCCUCAUGUGCACCUUUAUGACCGAAAACACACAUCAUUAACCUAAUAUCAAUUACUAAGCACUUUAGCAAUUUCUCCUUGAGCCGAUUAUCCAAGUCAAUAUAGAUUCAUCAUCAUGCUUACCUAUAACCGAACACAUGCAACACCAAUCCAUCUAUUCAUUCAUGCGUGCAUCUUAUUCAAGCAUGUAUAUCUACAACCGAAUUCAUCAUAUAAAUGACUAUGAAUUUACUCAAACAAUCUCAAUACCACACAUGGUGCUCAAGCCCUUUUUCAAUUUCAAAACUCGGCUAGUACAACUAUAUACACUAGUAAAUCAAACACUAACAAUUGCACUUCACCUUACUACCAUUUCUCAUCCAAAUAACGUGGACAACAACCAUAUUUCUCUUCUACUUCCUACCAUGGCCGAAUGCAUCAAAACAUCAUACCAUUUCAAUUUUGGUCAUGGUUAAACAAAGAACUUAAUGUCUAACUCAAAAAUGCUAAAAAGAAAAUUUAAAAGUCAUCAAUCCACCCUCACAUGUAUCCUUACAAAGCUUCACUUUUAGCAUGCAAAUGACAUCAACACCAAUCCACCUUAGCCGAAUAUCAUCUCCAUGACAUAGCAAAGAUUUGAACCAUGGGCUAGGUAGAACUCAAGCUAACAACUAAAAGCAUGCAUGAAUCUCAUGGAACAACAUCAACAUACCUUAACCUAGAUACAAGUAUGGCCGAACCUCUUCCUAAUCCUCUUCCAACCCGAACAUGAAGCAAGAGAGCACCUUCCUUCUUCCUUCCUCCUUAGAACUUUCAGCCAAAAAAUGUAAAAGGAUGGACACUUUUUUUUCUUUGUUUUCAUCAUUUUCCCCUACAUUAUUUUCUUACCAUGCUCCUUAUUUUAUCAUUCCUCUCAUGAAACACCAACAUAACAUGUUUAUGACAUGUUUUGCCCAUCACACUUUGUCCACCCUAUUUGUCAUGGCCGGCCACUACUAAUUAGGGGGGAAAUUGACAUGCAAGUCCACCCUUUUUAUUACAUGCACUAAUAGAUCCUUAUGUUUUGACCUAUCACAUUUCAAAAGUGUCACACAUAAGUCCUAUUGACUAAAUUCACAUGCAAUUUACUAAAUCGAGGCUUAAAACUUUCACACAUUCAUAUUCACAUAUUUUAGACAAUAAAUAUCAUAUUCAAAUAAUUUGGUGACUCGGUUUAGCGGUCCCGAAACCGCUUUCCGACUAGGGUCACUUUAAGGCUGUCACAUGAGUUGAGCCUCAAGACACGUUGAGGUAUUUUUAAUUUUUGUUUUCAAAAUCAACUCAUAUUGCGAGAAGUGAGUUGAGCCUCGGGGCACACUGAGGUAUUUUUAGUUUAUGUUUUAAAUUGACUCAUAUUGAGAGAUGAGAGUUAAGCCUUUUAAUUUUUGUUUUUCAAAAUCAACUCAUAUUGCGAGAGGUGAGUUGAGCCUCGGGGCACGCUGAGGUAUUUUCAAUUUUUGUGUUUUAAUUUCAACUCAUAUUGCGAGAGGUGAGUUGAGCCUCAGGUCACGCUGAGGUAUUUUCAAUUUCUGUUUUCAAUUUACGUUGUUCAAGAAUCAACUCAUAUUGCGAGAGGUGGGUUGAACCUUUUAAUUUCUACUUUUUCAAAAUCAGCUCAUAUUGCGAGAGGUGAGUUGAGCCUCAGGUCACGCUAAGGUAUUUUCAAUUUCUGUUUUCAAUUUACGUUGUUCAAGAAUCAACUCAUAUUGCGAGAAGUGGGUUGAACCUUUUAAUUUCUACUUUUUCAAAAUCAGCUCAUAUUGCGAGAGGUGAGUUGAGCCUCAGGUCACGCUGAGGUAUUUUCAAUUUCUGUUUUCAAUUUAUGUUGUUCAAGAAUCAACUCAUAUUGCGAGAGGUGGGUUGAACCUUUUAAUUUCUACUUUUUCAAAAUCAGCUCAUAUUGCGAGAGGUGAGUUGAGCCUCGAUUCACAUGCUGAGGUAUUUUCAAUUUCUGUCUUUCAAAAAAAAAAUUCAACUCAUAUUGCGAGAAAUGAGUUGAGCCUCAAGACACGUUGAGGUAAUUUCAAUUUCUGUUUUCAAAAUUCAACUCAUAUUGCGAGAAAUGAGUUGAGCCUCAAGACACGUUGAGGUAAUUUCAAUUUCUGUUCAAAAUGAGUUGAGCCUCAAGACACGCGGAGGUAAUUUCAAUUUCUGUUUUCAAAAUUCAACUCAUAUUGCGAGAAAUUAGUUGAGCCUCAAGACAUGCUGAGGUAUUUUCAAUUUCUGUUUUUCAAAAAAAAAAUCAACUCAUAUUGUGAGAAAUGAGUUGAGCCUCAAGACAUGCUGAGGUAUUUUCAAUUUCUAUUUUUCAAAAAAAUCAACUCAUAUUGCGAGAGGUGAGUUGAGCCUCAGAACAUGCUGAGGUAAUUUCAAUUUCUGUUGUCAAAAAAGUCAACUUGUAUUGCGAGAGGUGAGUUGAGCCUCAGAUCAUACGCCGAGGUAUUUUCAAUUUCCAUUUUUCAAUUUCUGCCUUUCAAAAAAAAAUCAACUCAUAUUGCGAGAGGUGAGUUGAGCCUCGGGACACGUUGAGGUAAUUUCAAUUUCUGUUUUCAAAAUUCAACUCAUAUUGCGAGAAAUGAGUUGAGCCUCAAGACACGUUGAGGUAUUUUCAAUUUCUGUUUUUAAAAAAUCAACUUAUAUUGCGAGAGGUGAGUUGAGCCUUGGCUCACGCGUUGAGCUAUUUUCAAUUUCUAUCUUUCAAAAAAAUCAACUCAUAUUGCGAGAGGUGAGUUGAGCUUCAGAUCACACACUGAGGUAUUUUUUCAAUUUAUAUUUUUCAAAAAAAUCAACUCACAUUGCGAGAUGUGAGUUGAGCCUCGGGUCACAUGUCGAGGUAUUUUCAAAAUCUGUUUUUCAUAUUCUGUUUUCAAAAAUCAACUCAUAUUACGAGAAGUGAGUUGAGCCUUGGCUCACGUGCUGAGCUAUUUUCAAUUUCUGUUUUUUUUUCAAAAAAAUUCAACUCAUAUUGCGAGAGGUGAGUUGAGCUUUUUAAUUUCUGCGAGAGUUGAGUUGAGUCUUUUAAUUUCUGUUUUUCAAAAAUCAACUCAUAUUGCGAGAGGUGAGUUAAACCUCCAGUCACAUAUCGAGGUAUUUUCAAAAUCUGCUUUUCAAGUUAAGUUUCAAAAAAUCAACUCAUAUUGCGACAGGUGAGUUGAGCCUUAGCUCACGCGCUGAGCUUUUUUCAAUUUCUGUUUUUAAUGUCUGUUUUUAGAGAGUCAAUUCAUAUUACGAAAAAUGAGUUAAGCUCAGGAUCACAUGCCGAGUAGAGAAUAAAGAUUGAAGCUGAUUGAAGACGUCAGAUUCUGUCUCCUUAAAGUUGCAGUGGAGUUGAUCGAGGGCAUCAGAUCUUGCCUUUCUAGAGUCGUAGAAGAGAAGACCAAAACCUUAUCUCACUGAAGCGAUAGAAGAGCAUAUUGAAGUUGUAGAUCUUAUCUUUCUGAAGUUACAGUGAAGCGGAUCGAAGCCACAAAUCUCAUAUCCUUGAAGUUACAUUGGAACAGAUUGAAGCUACAAGGCAUAUCUCCGAAUUUGCAGUGGAUUGAACCAAAGCUACAAGAUGCGGUGGACUGAAAAGGGACUAACUAAACAAGAAGAGUUCCAAAGCAAGUCAAGACCUAGCAAGACCGGGCAAGUUUGGUCUUCCUUGAAAGUCUUUGCUGUAUUAUCGUUGCACGACAAUGAGCAAAGAGGGGCAGCUGUAGAAGCCCAAAUUACCCGGGCCCGAUUAUAUCAAAACCCAACCAAACCUCUAAACCCACUAAAACCCUUAACCCAUGACCCAUUUACAUCUACCCAAACCUAUUACAAAACCCAAAUAUUAAACCCAAUUCAAAAGCCCAUUAAGCCCUCCCAAAAAAAAAACCUAACCAAAAAAAAAGAAGAAAAAACCUAACCCAAAAAAAAAGAAAAACCUAACCCCCCCCCAAAAACCAAGAAACCCUAGCCACCUAACCACUUUCCCACUUGCCCCAUUUUUCCUCCCAUUUUUGAUAUCCAUUGUCUACCACCAUUACCUACAAAAUAGAAAAAGAAAUAAUAGAAAAUCAUGUAAAAGAUGGCUAUAAAAAGCCAUUCAAAAAUCAUGUAAUGGGGGAUUUUUACAAAGAUUGAAAAAAAAAACACAAAAAUCCCUUCAAAUUUUGAACACAAAAGAAACAUCAAUAAAAAGGUUGCAUCUUUUUCUUUUUUCCUCUUCUUUCGAAUCUUUUUUUCUUUUUUUUUUGUGUUGUUUUUUUCUUUCUUUAUAUAUACAUAUAUACAGGCGGCGACCGACGAUCGACCGGUGACCGGCCCCCUUGGCCGGAUUUCCUUUCCCCCCUCUCUUCUCUCUUCUUUCCCCCUUCUUUUUUUUUAGGUAUUUUAUAUAUAUUAUGUAUAUAUUUUUUAAUGCCAUUAGUUAUAUAUUUCUUAUGUAUAUAUUCUUAAAUACUAUUAUAUACAUAUAUAUAUUUUAAAUACCAUAUUGUGUAUAUAUUAUUAUUACAAAUUAUUACUAUUGCUAGUAUUAUUAUAACAAUUUUUAUAUUAGUGUAUAUUUUAUGUACAUAUGUAUAUAUAUAUUUUUGCACAUAUCAUUAUUUUAUAUUAUUGUUGUAAAUUUUUUAUGUAUAUAUUUUUUAUGUACGUUUCCUAAUAUUUUCUUUUAUUGUAGAUAUUAUUAUUAUUACAUACUUUUAUUAUAUGCAUAUAUAUAUGUAUUUUUAUGUACAUAUUAUUAUUUUAUAUUAUUAUUACCAAAUAUAUCAUUUUUCCUAUUUUAUUAUUAGUAGAUGAUUUGUUUUUAUUUUGUAAAUAUCAUUAUUAUUGUUAUUCUAAUAUUCUAGUAUUCCAUGUUAAUAUUUUUCAUUAAUGAUAUCAUUUUUUUGCGUCCUUUAUCUAUUUUUAAUUUCUCACUUUAGGAAUAUUUUUUUCUCAUGUUUUAAUUAAUUUCAAAAAUAAGGCAAUGUACCGAUUUAAUAUUAAGCCAUCGAUUUCAUCGCUAUGUUGGGUGAAAUUUGUCGACUUGUUUUAAAAAAUGGGACACCCUUUCUAAAAAAAAAAUCGAAAACUAAAAAUUCUCAUUUUUCAAUCGGAUCACGAUUAAAUAUUAUAUUGAACUCGUAUUUUUGAAAAUCAAGUCAACACAUGUUUAUGAGAUACCAAUUUUGGGCGUCGCGAGGGUGCUAAUACCUUCCUCACGCGUAACUGACUCCCGAACCCCAAUUUUUCUCUGGACUUUCAUGUAGGCCUAAAUUUGGCCUUCUUUUUGUUUUAAAAUAAUUUUAUUAGGUGUCCGAUCACACCUAUAAAAAAGGAUCGGUGGCGAGUCCCUUUGUUAAUAAAAUCGAAAGUUGGUUUUCAAAUGUUUAAUAAAUCGCCACAAUUAGCGACCAAGCGAAACUAAAUUUUUUUUACGUCGCUACACAUCUCAUCACAUCUCCAAGUGCCAAAAGGGUAUGUUUCAACAUUUUGAUUAGAAUGGCAUGUACUUAGGAAGAUCAAGUGUGUUCCAAGUAGUAGGGACUAAAAUAUAAGUUAUGAAAAUUUAUAUUUUUAAUGUUCAAAUGUAUUAGUGAUUAGCCAAAAUCACUUUGGCACCAAAUGUAAUAUCCAUAUAUCAGGUUCCUUAGGUUGAACCGGGUAACCGAGUAUAGGGGUGUUACAAAUUUGAUAGUCUCGGGUUAGUUCGGUGAGGUCAAGAGAUAAAUCAAACUAAUUUGUCUAAAUUGAUAAAAUUGAGACCGAGAGGUAAAAUUGAACCAAUUUAGGAUAAUUUGUGAUUUAGAUCCCUAAUUCAAAGGUUAACCAACUACAUGGAAAUCAACCAAUCGUUGCCUGUUAUCGUAUUUGUUUGAAUUUGCUAGUUUCAUAUUUUGUUUCAUUUACAAUGUAGUCCUUUGUUGUUUUUAGGUAAUUAGUUAAAGUAAUUAAACUUGUGAAUGGCUUAUUGUAAUAUAGUACCUAGUGAGUAGCUAGCUAGACUCCUUUAAUUGCAUGUUUAUAAUUUAAUAAUUACUUAAUCACUGGAUCCUUUGGGUCGACCCCUUAGAAUACCCUGGUGUUCCAUUGGACACUAUAAAUAUUACAACAAACACUGUCUGCCUACAAUCAAAACCGCACUUUUAAAAUUGUUUGUUUUUCUGUACAUGCGAUCAAGUUGUUGGUAUCGUUGUUAGGGAGCCGGUGUUAGAUUGAGUGAUUUUUAGCAUUACUGUAUAUUGUUUAAGGAGAUAAUUAGCAAAAGUUAGGGUAAUAGAUACAACUUUUCUUUGUGUUUAUUUGUUAUUUUUGUUUGGAAAAUAUUUGUUGAUAUGUUUGAAUUUCUUUUGCUUGCAGAAGGUAGUGAAUGACUCGAACUAGUAACGAGGUCGUACCAUUCGAGCAGGAGCCGAAACAAAUCUUGACUCACACUAGAAGGGACCAACUUCCAAGAGGAGCCCAACCCCCACCGAUAGACCCAUCGAUUGGCAGGUAGGCAAUCAACGAUCAGAGAGUUAAAGAACACCCACCCCAUUUCACCAAAGACUGAUAGUAUAACGAACGUUGAGAGACUACGCCAUGCCUAAUCUGCAAGCGGCCCAUGGAAGCAUUAAUCGUCUCGCGAUUAAUGCUAACAACUUUGAAAUCAAAUCGACGAUGAUCCAGAUGAUACAAGGGAAUCUUCAAUGCUGAGGAUCAAUGAACGAAGACCCGAAUCAACACCUUAAGUGAUUUCUAACCCUUUGUGAUACUUUUAAAUAUAAUGGGGUAAUCAGUAACGCCAUAUGUCUUCCGUUAUUCCCUUUCUCUUUAACUGAUGAUGCUUUCAUAUGGUUAUAUUCGUAGCCCAUUAAAUCGAUCAAUAUAUGGGAUGAGCUGACCAGCAAAUUCCUCACCAAAUAUUUUCCCUCGAGAAAGACUAUGAAGUUUUAGAUGGAUAUCAUAAAUUUUCGUCAACUUGAGGGAGAGUCUCUUUACAAAGCGUGGGAACGCUUCAAAUUAAUGCUACGUAAGUGCCCUUAUCAACUACCAGCCAUAGCUUUCACCACCAAGCGUGCCUUGUGGCUACAACAACAUGAUGUGUCACGAAACUAACUAAAAAUAAGACGAAGGCGAGUGCACCUAUCGGUAAAUAGUAUAGCUAUAGUGAAUAGAGAUAUCGUAUCCACGAGGAUUAAAAAUAUUAGUAAUUACCGUUUUCCUAUUAUUUAGCCGAUAAAUUGGAGUGAUUGGUUUUAAACUAAAUUUACUAAAUUAAUAUAACUAAGAACUCAACAGAAAAUAAAUCAGAAAAAUAACUGAAUAAUAACCAAUGAGAGAGACAAUACCCAGGAAAGAAUCCACCUAGACUUCACCUAUUCUUAUAGAUAUGAACUAAACAAUUUAUUCACUUGGUAUUUUGAUCCGUAGAAAUCCCUAAAUUAUACUAAUAUCUCUUCCGAGAGUAAGAGCAACUGAAUCUAGGUUGAGUAAUUGAAAUAUCUUUCUAGUUAAAACCCCUAUUGUCGCAUUAACUAGAUUUAUGGAUUCCCCUAUUAGACUUGACUCUAAUCCGAUAGAUUUAUGUCGUCCUAUUUCUAGGAUUGCAUGCAACUCCACUCAAUUAUGCUAGAUCUACUUUUAAACAUGGACUUUUCCUCAUCUGAUUUAAGCACAUUAAUCAUGAAUUAAUAUCCCGAAAAUAUUAAAACAAGAAAUAAGCACAAAUAACUGAGAACAAAAACCAAGUAUUUAUCGAAUAAAACAUAAAUUAAAUAAUAGAAUUCAUCAUUGGUUUCAUCUUCCCUAGAUAUCUAGGGAAUUAGUUUAUAACUCUGAAUAAAAACAUCUCAAAAUCAGAAUAACCACAAGAAAUAAAGAAACUCAUAAAAACUUCAAAAGAAAUUAAAAGGUCUUCAAUCUUGAUGGAAAUCUACUUCAAAGUUGGCUCUAAUGGUGCUCUUCGAGUUGUAUUCCUUAAUAUUCUUUGAUCGCUCCCUUUUUUCUUCUUCUAUUUGGUAUUUAUAAACUUUUGAAUGUUCAAAAAGCCUAAAAAAUGCAUUUUCCGCAUAUUUGGGAGGCAAGUUGUGAAAUCAACAUGGUUUGGCACAUGGCCGUGUGUCCAACCCAUGUGGCUCACACGACCUUGUGUCCAACCCGUGUGGGAAGGCCCAGCUCGUGUGGCUCCUAAAAUUUAUUCUUUUUGCCCGAUCUUCACUCGUUUCUUGCUUCUUUUGUUCCCAUAUGCUCACUUAAGUAUAGAAACAUGAAUUCAAAAGAUUAGGAGCAUAAAAUUUACCAAUUUGCAUGAAUAAUCAUCCAAAAACGCAUUAAAAACGAGAUUAAAAUAUAUUACUUUUAUCGUUUAUCACAACAUUUACCCAAUUCAUGUUAAAAAAAAUUGUAACAGUUAAAAUAAAAUAAAAAAACUAAUUGAAAAAAUAAAACUAUUUUAAUCCCCUAUCUUAUUUUUCUUAAAUACAAUACAAUAAGUUUAAUAUUUAAUACCAACAUAUCAUAUGCAUAAUUGGGUGAAAUCUAAAGUUGAGUCGUCCAUGGCAUAUUUGGAUUAAUCAUAAUAUGACGGCGGAUAUGAUGGCUAAGGAUGCCAAGCUGUAGUCGAUCAGUCUUUAAAAUUUUGAUCGACCUCCUCAGUCUGCUGACCUCGCUUCAUGCAAGUUGAUUAAACCAUAGACAAACAAUUAAGUCAACCUUAAAAAACACAGGAAGGAUAAAGGAAAGUAGAAAGUAAAAAAAGAAAAAGAAAAGUUUAUAUGUGAUGCACUGUCAAAAAUUAUAUAUUUAUUUGUUUUACCAUCAAGCAUCCAAAAUAAAAUGAUAUCAGAUUUUAAAAAUAAAACCAAUAAUUUAAUAAGAUGGUAUGAUUUGAUUUAUUAAUAUUCAACGGUAUCAAAAAUGAACUCACAUUAUUAUUGAACUAAGAUAGGCAUGCAAAAGGAGACUUUUGUCGUCGGAUGACUUUGUCACGUUUAUCAAAAUGUCAACGAUAUUUUGUUUUCCUUGAAGAAAAGCAGUACAAUUACCAAAUUAUCUGUUUUUCUUUGAUAAUUAAUGUCAAUACUAAUUAGGUUUGAAUUAUUAAAAUAGUCAUUUCCAUAUAUUCACCGCCACAAUUAAGAAUAAUGUGAUAUUUAUUUCUGUUGACUCGGAAAUAGAAAAAGUAAAUAACCACGCUUUUUCAUGUCUUUAACAAAGGGAUUUACUUCGGAAACACUGUAUAUAUUAAACCCAGAAUCACGAACAGUUUUAAUCAUUAUUUACUACAAAAACUAAUUACUUACUUUAUUUAUCCCAUUAAAACAAACACUUGCAAUUUAAUAAGAUUACAAUGAUCCCUUUUUCAUAGAUUACAAAGACUUUUGGAUAUAGUGGCUUUUCAAGGUCCUCAAUAUUUUUUUACUUACACUUUUAUUGAAUCAAACAAUAAUUUGAUGGGAUGGACAUAAUUAUAUAAUUUAUAUUUGAUGUAGUGAUUUUCAUCUAAGACUUGAAUAUGAUGAGAGAUUAUUAAACAUAAAGCCAUUUGAAUUUAAUUUUAAAAAAUUUGAUUAAUCACAUAAUAAUUUAU